GUUUUUUUUUUUUUUGCGAAUAUGCCACGGUGCUUUUCCAAGUAGAGGAUGCCUCCUUUCUUAAAACUUGCAUUAAGCAAGUCGUCAUCUUUCAUUGGAGGGCAUUGUUGUUUGUUUGUUUUUCUGGAGGGAAGGCAUUAUUGUUGAGUGUGUAGCCUUUCCAUCAUCCAUGUGGGUGUGUGGAGGCUUCAAAAAAAAGAAGAAGAAGAGGCACGCAGGAAAGAGCCGGGCAGGGCACACCUUGUUGCAACAUGCAAAGCGUUCAGCCGGUGCUCCGGGAAGCCCGGGCACGCGUUGCUGGCUCCCUCCCUCACGGGGCUUGUCAGGUCGCGACGGGGCCGGCAGACUGGUACGCAGACUGCGUACCACCAAAGCCUGCGAGCUCCUGUGCUGCGCCUCGGCCGCCGCCCGGUCCGUCCUUGCAUGCAUGCACGCACGCACGCACGCACGCCGCUCCCUCCCUCCCUUGCCGUCGCGUCCACGAGCACGCACGGACGGACACGCCGGGCUUCCUCCUUCCGGCCCCGCCAACGCCGAGCGCCGACGAGGCGCUCAGGGCGAUCGACGCCCCCGCUGCGCGCUACUGGAGCCGGCCGGUGUCUCGCCUACGUACGUACGGCGACGUUCAUCGGCCGCCGCGGUGCGGUGCUGCUUGCAUUGGCUGCGUGCGUAUCGUACGUCGCGUGGUUGCCGGUUCUGGCGAUCAUGAUGGGAUGUGGCUCCUGCAUGCUCUGCCGAUGAUGGGAGUUGGGGAUAGGAAAAGCAGGCCGAGAUUCGAGGAAAAUGUGUGUAGAGAGAGAGGAGAGAGAGAGAGGGGAGGGGCUGACUUGGUUUGCCGGUUUGAGACACGCAAGAGUUGUACCGCUCCGGUAAACAGGCGUACCACCUUCCGUCUACACUAGGACCCGUUCCCACUUUUGACUGGGAUGACCGCGUACGUACCUCGGUGAGAAGUGGAAGGAAGGCUGAAAAGAGUAACUGCACCUAUGAAGCAUGAACUUGCACGGUGGAUACAUAGUCAUGCAUCGACUUGAAAAAAGUGUCGGGAACACUUGGGCUGAUUUUCAUCACUCACCGUCAAGUGGUUUGCUGACUCUGCCUACAUGGCACGCCACCGUGGUAGCAAGUCCCACUUGUCCCAAUGUUCCUCUCCCUCCUUUCGUGUCGUAUGCACCAUGGGUCGGGUCGCACCUGCGCUGACUUAUUGCUGAUGGUGACCACCAUCUUGGUUCACCAAAGUCGUAAUGCGGGUUUUGCUUGAUACACAUGAGGGACUCAAUGUAGCUAUUCAAAAGUCUCCUUGAGCUCUCCAUUAGCGGCACCGCCUUAUGGUGGGUGACUUCGUUCCUGCAAUGCCACAUGUGCAAAAACUUCAUGAGGGAGAUUAGUCGUUUUGUCUCGAUACACUGAUCCAGUAGGUGGAGAAGCCAUCCGGGGCCUGUGUUUUGAAUGCUUUGAAGUCCGGGUAGCGCCAUGCUCCCUCGCUUCUUCCCACAUAGCUCCGAGCAUUGGACACCUGGAGACGACAUGAGAGGUAUCCUCAUGUUAGACACCACAAAGAGCACAUAUGCCAGAGUUUCAAGUUUUCUCUUACAUUUUGUUCCCGUAGAGGGUAGAGAAUCUACCGCGAGUCGCCACCCCAAAGAUGUGUGUCUUAGGAGGAGUAGGGUAUCUCCACACCGCCUUGGCCCUAGGAGACGACGUGGUUGUCGUCCGGUGACCUACUCGUGGCGCACACAGACGUCUGAAUUUUCUCCUCGAGGGAGCAUAUAUAGAGUUUGAAAGAAUGGCUAGAGAAGUAACAAAAAACGCACAUUUGAAAAAAUAUGGGCCAAGAAGUAGUAAGAUCCAAAAGUAUUUUUUAGUACCAAAUAAAUAAAAAUAUGUAAAAUAAAAGUUUUGGUGAAAAGAUGCAUAUGAUCCAUGGUGAACCAUUGUGCUUGGGCUGCUGCCGUGAUUUGAAUUUUGAAAUGAACUCGUACCACCGAAGCAGCACGGAACAAGAAGGAGCAAGGAAUGGUAGAAUUUGUGGUUUGGAGCAGGUGAGGGAACAAGAAAGCCCUACAUGUACGUGCCCGUCUACCCAUGGUGUCUAGGCCUAGCCCUGGCCCACCCGAGGUGCCGGGCUCUGAUUGGCGGGUACGCUGGCCGCAUGUAGGCGUAUGGCUCGAUAUGUGGGCUCCACGCUUCGCCCCGCGCGGGAAGACCCUAGGCCGCGUCCACGCGCCGGCGGCGCAAAGAAUCCUGCGCCUCCAAUGCGAUCGGACGGGCAGGAGCGCACCCCGCGCCGCGCACCGGGUCCACGCAGCUGACCCGAGUGGCGUGUCCACGGCCCAUCCGGAGUUAUCGUACGCUGCCUUCCUCUAUUGGGUCCAUGCACCGCGCGCACCUAGCCUAGCCCCCAGCCGCAGCACACCCAGCGCCGCGGCGCCACCCCACACCCCCAAACACGCACAGCGAGGAGAGGAAUGCGCAGCGACAGACGCGGCCUUGGUGGCUUGGUCGUCUCGAUUUCUUCCGUCCCCUCCCUCUCCCCUGGCCUAGGGUUUUAGCGGCGGACGACGAGGGUCGAGCAUGGCGCCGUCCGACGGUCCCGGCGGCGACCCGGCGGCGGGGGAGGGCGUCACCCUCUCCGACCACCGCGCGCGCCCGUCCAUGCGCGACAGGCCCGCCGCGGCGGGCGAGUGCGAGGCCGACGGCGUCGCGGAGGAGGCCGCGGCGAGGCGCGGCUGCUACCCCAACCCAGCUCCCCGCGGCUGCUACCCCAACCCCGCUCCCCGCGGCUGCUACCCCAACCCAGCUCCCCGCGGCAAGCAGGUCGUGGUGGAGGAGACGAGCGGCAAGGGCGCGCCCGCCGAUGGCGUCCAGGACGUCGUCCAGAGGCUCGGGCUCUGCCGCCACCCCGCUCGCCGACGCCCUCUACAGUUCGGCGAGUGCACCUCCGCAGCCGGCGCCGAGGAGGCCGUGCGGACGUGCUCGCAGAUCGGCCCCGCGGCGUCCUGCGCCCCGGUGGCUAGUGGAGGGAGAGGAGGCGGAGGGGGUCGCGGUGACAGGGGCGUGUACAUCGACGGCUGCACCUCAAGGCCGCAGGCUUCCAAGCUCGCGCCAACAAGCGAUCCCGCGCCCAAGGUCUCUCGUCUCCUUCUCUCUCUCUCGCUUGUGCUGCCUACAUUCUUGUGUUUUGCGGGUCGCCCUACAGUAUUGCUCUGCUGCAGCAGAAGCUAAAUUACAUCUGUAUGCACUACAUACAUUUAAUCAGGGGCAAGCCAGAUCUGAGAUAGAAUGGAUGGAAGACGGCUAUCUUGCUAAAAUUGUUCAUGCUGAUUGUGCCAACGUGAUUAAAGUUGGUCAGGUAUACAUCUACUGUCCAAAGAACGUAUAACCUUCUACCUAUUGUUUCAUGUUGUAGUACUAGUGCUUGCAUGUUUUGCUAACAUUGUACUGCGUGGCCUAUUCCAUUAGGUAAUUUGUUGGAUUCUGGAAGAAGAAGGUGACAUCGAUAAGUGCAAAGGUUACAAACCGUCGGCUGCACAUGUAUCAAAGGCUACGCGAGAACCUCCCAAGCCUAACAAUGUAAGUGUUCCCUUUCCAGAAAUUUCGCAGAGGAUAACUAUGCAAGUCCUUAGUUGAGCUAGUCUAUCUAGAUAGUUGCUCUAGGCAUGCAGUGCGCAGUCAAUUAAGACAUAUGUCUGUGUUUUGUCAAACAGGAGGUCCAACUGUCAAGUGUAAAAGGCACCGGUCCUGACGGUGGUAUUCUCAAGGCAGACAUUGAAGAUUACUUGGGUAUGCUAUUUUCUCUCUGAUUGCAUUCCUGAGAUUGAUGAAAGGUUCUUUCAUGUAAUCACUACUUCUGCUCGUUUAAACUUGAAUACAGACCGCUUGAGUAAAUCUUCAGCAUUGGUCAUUAUACAAAUUGAGUUUUAACUAGGCCUCUUCCUGGCUAUGCACUUGAUCUUAAAUCUUAAUGUCAGUGUUGAUAUGGAUGUUUUUUGGUUGUAACCAUCGGCUGCAGAUGCGCCUGCAGCUCCUUCAGAAUCAAAGGCUGCACAAGAACCUGCAGAGCCAAAAGUGGAGGAGAAAGUACCUGCCAAGGAUAACAAUGUAAGUCCCCUUGCCAAGGCUAGCAAUUAAAGUCCCCUUGCAAUGAAGUUUAUGCUCAUAUUUCCAUAUGAUGUGGUUCUAAUUUCUUGUUUUAUUUUUCAGGUGUCCCUAGGAGGAGUAAACGGAAACUCCACCUGUAGCAGAACACUCAUCAACCGUGUCCCAAGUGCUGUUCCUGGCAUCAAUAGUUCAUUGCCAUGGUAUACUGUCCUUUUCUUAUUAUACCGUUGCUGCCUUUAUAUUUCUGUGUGCCAAUGCUUCAAAGGAUAAUCACCUUCAAAAGAGGUUGAACUUGACUCGAAAUAUUUUGAUUAAUACCAACCGCGUCUUGCAAAAUCUCCUUGAACCAUUCCUCACCACUUUUCAGUCAUAUAUCUUUCUAUACCACAAUAGCUAACUAAGUUUCUGAUUAGAGUUCUCGUUGUCCAUUUAAAGUAGUUCUUUUACCAGAAAUGCACGGUGGCUGUACUCUUUCCUGUAUGUAUAAGAAAACCAUUUUGAAGGUGUUUUUCAUUUUUUUUGUCCUUUUUCAGUGGGCGGGUAGCUUCAGCAAGCUCUUUCUCAAGUUGUGCAGGUACCCCUGCACCUUCUCUUGGAUGUUUAAUUAUGCCCUUGAAUCAAAGAUUUAUUCUAUAACCAGGAAUUAAGAAUAUUAUAACAGAGAUUGAUCUUUUUUUCUUGUUAACUACUCCUAUGCAAGAAUGGUUCCUUCCAUUCAUAUCUAAGCUUUACAAAAUAUCAGGAUUUUUGUCCACAUCUAUUUCCAUGUAAAACUUCAGGGUAGUUCUCUGUUGUGCCGUAUCUAACAUCGUGAUUGGUUUGUUCAAAAGUUAUUGUAUCUUAAAUUCUGGGUCCUACAUAUCCACCCUCAUUUUUGUUCUUGUGUCGCAAUUCUGAAAGCAUUAAUUAUUAUACAAACUGAACUCUCUUCCUAGCUAGAUUUGGUUGUAAAUCCCUUCUGUUUGUUGUUGACUUGCUGUGUAGUCGUGUGUUCUUGUUAAAUGUGAUUUUCUAAAGCUCUUGUGAAUUACUCCCUCCGAUGCAAAAUAAGUGUCAUAGUUUUGAACUAACCUUAGUUCAACCUUAUUUCAAUGUGUGCGAUUCUUGAUUGUUUGUCCUAAUCAGACCUCUAUCCCAGUCUCAUAAAAAAAUAACUCCAUGCUUUUUUAUGUGCCAUUCUUGAUUGUUUAUCCUAAUCAGACCUCUAUCCCGGUCUCAUAAAAAAAUAACUCCAUGCUUUUUUAUGUGCCAUUCCUUAUUGUUUCCUUUUCUUUUCAUGUUAGUUCUCUACUUCAAAAUGUGUGCGCGAAUUCUGUAAUAAUCAUUUUUACCAGCAUUCUUGUGAGAUCCAAGUAAAAGUUCUGCACUAAGCUUGAGCCUGCCUCUAAGCUCAUUAUGCCAUGCAUUUUGCUUAUGCUUUCCUUAUAUAUCAUGUGAAUCAAAUGGAACCCAGCCUGCAUCUAAUGACUCUUUUUUCUUAACAAAGCUUCUGUAGCCAAGGGUGGCAAGAGCGAGUCUUUUGCAGCUUCAGGAUUAGAUUGCACUUAUAUUCCAAAUGCGCAGAUAAGAAAGGUAUGUUUCAACUGUGAAGAUUGCCGAUGGGAUUUUUUUGGUUGAUCCUAUCUGCCUUGUAGUGGUCUAAGUCCUGUUCAUUUCAGGUUACUGCAGACCGUCUCUUAGCCUCUAAACAAACCAUCCCACAUUACUACUUGACAGUUGACACACCCGUCGACAAACUUAUCAAGUAUGUUUCAGGCCUGAUGUUGCAAAUCAUGCAAUUGACCAUUUAAGUACCGAACUUUUGUAUAAAGAAGAGUUCUUCAUUUUGUUGUGAUACAGGUUGCGAGGGGAACUGAACCCACUGCAGGAAGCAUCUGGUGGAAAGAAGAUAUCUAAAGACCUUGUUAGAAAGGUAAUCACCGGUUCUUAUACGUAUAUUGUUGUCUUUUAAGUCGCUCAUGUGGAAGGUUUGCCAAAGAGAAUAAAGUUGGCUGGGUAUACAUUUACUGCCCAAAGAAUGUAUAACCAUCUACGUUUUGUGUCUUUCUUUUUUCUAACUCAUUACUUGUGUUGCAGGAUGCAGACAAGACAGGACUUCCUACAAUCGGUGAGGAGGUGAAGCAGUUGGCUCAAAGAGCGAGGGAUAACAGCUUAAAACCACAGGACUAUGAGGUAUGUGACGCAUAAUACAUUGAUAAUUAUGAAAUCAUGCUGAUCAGAUAUUCUUGGCUUGCUCAAAGAGUGUUCCCUUUUUAGAUGGAACAUACCCAUUGUUUUGCACUAAUACUUUCUGUUCAUUGCAGGCAUUUAGUGAUUUUCCAGAUUUUUUCUGUAGUGAUAAGGGAGGCUACCCUGGGUCUAGUAAUGGAAAAUGCAAUUAUAUCUCGAAGGUACUUUGACACACUAAUUAUCUCAGAGCUUGCAUCAAUGUACUGUUUUUUUUUUACAUUUUGGAUGAUCAUAUAUUGUAGAUGAACUAUUACUUGAGGGCUGGAGAAUCAAGCAGCAGCUCUUCUGCUAUGCUUUUACAUUCUGGCUGAUAAUAUUUUGUAAAAUUGCUUGUAGAUGAAUUUUUAUCUCAGGGCUGGCUCCAUGAGUGAUGAUAUGAUGCUAGUUUCUGAUGGAGAGGAAUCAAGUAAUUAUUCUCUUCGAUUUGAAGAGUUAAAGGCAAGAUUCUAAAAUAGCGCUUUGCAUUCAAGCUACAGCAUAGCUUAGUUUGUCCUAUUUCUGAUUUUGUUUGGACCCAUUUAGUCCUACUUCAAGAUAUAGUCUAGCUUGUCGCUAAUUCUGAUUUUCUUCGGACCCGUGCAUAUGUUACAAUUUCCUGAUCAUUGCUGAAAGAUAAAAUUUUAUAGGAACUUGCUGUUGCUAUAUGUUGGAAAAUGCUGUGUUAUUAUCUGUCCAUGUGUGGUAGACUAGCAGCACCUUUCAAUUAAUUUUCAAUAAAUAUGUGAUUAUAAAGGUGAAAUUUCUAGAAACAAUACCUUAAAUGACAUUGGGUGGGUUAUGAUUCUUCAUACUUAUUCAAUUGUAUGUUUGUCUGUUUAUUUCAAUGAGUUGUUACAUGGUUUCAUCAAUUGCUUAUGUUAUGUCAGGGUUUUAAGAAUUCCUCCAACAACUCAAAGGGCCUAGUGCAGAAGGUAGACAGCGACUAUUAUACUGAGGUAAUUUUGCGUUGCAAUGCUUCACGGUAGUAUUUUGGAUGCUGGAUGUUGAAUCGAAUGUUUGUUGUAAAUGUGGGCAGUGGGUUCAACUUGAUCUGGAACAAUGCGAUCUUGUCACCAAACCUUCUGCUCUAUAUAGAUUAUCAGGGUCAUAUCCAUCCAUUCUAUGGUUGCCAUUUGUGCAUGCAACUACUAUGGCUCCAAGGUUUUUACUAAUUUGAUUUGUUGAGAAGCUUGCUACCUUUAUGUCUCCAACAAGCAUAACCGUUAAAUCUAGUGAAUUCUAGCUGUCUGAAUUUGUUAUGGGUAUUGAUGAUUGUAGGUAUCAUCAUAUUGAAGAAAAUAACCAUAGAUUGUUUUUCGGUGGAUAUUACAUUAGUUUUAAAUGAAUGUCAAGUCUAGAUUUAAACUGAACAUAAUUAUGUUAUCUGCUUAUUAUGCCUUAUAUUUGUAUAGCUUUCUCUCUGCCUUAAUUGUAACUUCCAAUUUAUCUAAUAUUCUAGCAAACAAUUAUUUGCAGGGAGUUUCUCAGGUGUUUCUACAUCUCUGUGGCACAACAAUUUCUCAUCAGGAAAAUCUGUACACUUCAAAUGUGAAUAUGUUAAUGAAGGCGGCAUGUGAUAAAGUGGGUGUAAAAUCCAAGGAUUUUUAGUCAAUUUAUUGUGGAAAAGUGUUGGAUCCCGAGCAACUUCUAUCCUAUUAUCAAAUAAACAAGGAUUCAAAAAUCAUAAUUAACGCAAGACUCAGAGGUGGCUGGUAUGUAAUAAAUUGCGCUAGACUAAAUUUCAGAAAUUAUUUUUAUUGGUAGAGGUUUAUUAACAGCUUCUUUAACUUACUAUUCCUCACAGCCGCUUUUUGUCUUUAAGAUGUUAUUUUUUCUUGCAAGUGUGCAUUACAUUCCAUUGGUGGAUAGGUUCCACAUUGUUAUUUUUUUCAAUUCCUGGUAUGAUGGAUACUAAAAUUGAAGUUUCACAAAUACUGUUGCUUAAUUCUGAAACUUAGGCUUCAUGAAUAAUUGAAGUGGGUGAUGCAGUAUGUGUCGAUCAUAUCUAUUUUUCCCCUUUAAUUCUAACAAUUCAAGUUGAUAGAUUAUGCCCAACCAUUAAUCUAUGUAUGGCUCAUGUGGAUUUUAACUUCAGCAUGCUUUCGAUUCUGCUGUGUCAGGCUGGACACUAUCGUUUACUGUUCAGCUUAUACAAUGGUUACCAAGGAAAAUGACCUUCUUCUGUAUAAAUAUUAGAUGAUAUGGGGUUGUUCCCUGCAAAUUCCUUCAUGGCUUAUGUUGAGUGCAUACCUGUAGUCAAUUGUACCAUGUUUCUGCAGUUUUCUUGUCUGUGAGUUUAUUUGUAUCCAUAGAACAUUGGCAUCACUAAAUUGUUAAGUUUCUUAUAGACGCACAUGGAAAUAUCCACCAACCUUCCUGAAAGUUGAGCUUAUCUUGACUUUUGAAUCUGUGUAAUCCAAGCUUCGUAUUCUAGAUGGUGAUGUUAGAACAUGCAUUGACUAGACUUGCUGAGCUAUAUACUUUCCUCUAUAGCUUUCAUGGGUCAGCCUGUCAAUUUGCUUGCGGAAUAUUCGAUAACACUUCUCUGAGUUUUGUUUGUCAACUAGUCAAUUUAUUUGUUUGCCAUCUAUAUCUAGUAAAACUGGCUGAUUAGGUCUCUGUUUAACCUCAGUAUGCUUUUACUUCAUUUUUGUCAGGCCGACAUGGACAGUACUGUUUAUUUUACGAUAGGCAUGUUCAUUUGUACUGCAUACUUGUACUUGGCUUCUAUCAUGGCUUAACUAGUUCUAUUUUUUUUGCAAUACUUUAUAGUGCUGGGGACAAAACAUGGGAUGACAUUAUCAGAUCUCAGAAACAUUACACGAUGGUGUCAUUGCCACCUGAAGACCUAGUUCUCUUGCGCCGGGACGGCUCGGCCCAGCAAGGUCCAAUUCUGGUGAAGUACUUGGCAGCACCUAUGCAAUUUCGUUCCAGAAAUGUGCUUAUCCAACUGUGCCGCAAGCAUUAUAGUGGUACUUCCUAUGGAGGCAAGAUCACUUCCAAGAAUAUCUUAUUUGACCGAUAUGGGAAUGUCCGUAUUGAUUCUGCCCCUGAAACGCUUACUCAACAUUCGGCUAAAUUGGACUAUGAGGCAAUUGGUAAAAUAUUGGAUGAUUCGUUCCAAGGCAAGGUAUAUCCAAUGCAUUUCUACCAACUGGUCGACUUCCUAAGAUAUGGUCCUGCUGUGGACUGUCAAAGUGAGGCUGUGAUAGCAUUUGUGACAAAUCAUGUUUCAUUGCUUUCUCAUUACGUGAGGGUGUCAAUCAGUGAAAUUUUGGUUCAGCUGGUUGAACGACUUCAUCCAGAUGUGAGGACUGCCUUACUAAAUAUACUUGAUCAAUUUGCUUGGGCGAAUACCGUGAAGAAUGUUGCAGCAAUGAAGUAUACAUACUUUUAUCAUUCUCGGAACAAUCAAGAUGGGACAGUUUGGGUUCCGUAUGUGGACGAUGGGGUCAGUUUUCUGAAGUUCUCAAAUAACUUUUUCAAGCAUCAUAAGGUAAGAUUCAUGCUUAAUCUCUUUCCUCUUUUUAUGCAUGCAGUUUCCCUUGUAUAUAUUUUUAUGACACCUGAUCAUGAUACAAACUAGUUUUCGUUAAUGCAGUGGACCUCUUUAGAGAAGCUUGAUGCAGCUUUUUCGUUGAUGGAGAAAAGGAACUUUAUACCUCGAUUCCUGUUAACCAUUCUUGUGACUUUGAAAGACUCAGAGAAUCAAUGUCCUGCACUGAUACAGUCUUUUAUUGACCAAGUGGUUGAGAUGUGAGUUACUAUGAACUUGGUAGUUUAUACUGAUUUUAUUUACGUAAUAUUAGGAGCUGGCUGAUACAUUAAUUAUUUGCAGGCUGGGGAAUAACGUAAUUGACCUCCAGAGGGGUUGACCUGCGGGUGGCUGGGAGCCCGACUGCUGUUACCAAAGCCUGGUUGUGUUCUAACAUGGCCAUCUAACAUGAAGUGAAGAUGGCAUGAAGUGCUGUUGCCAUGUACUCCCUCUGUAAACUAAUAUAAGAGUGUUUAGAUCACUAUUUUAGUGUUCUAAAUGCUCUUAUAUUAGUUUACAGAGGGAGUAAUUGAUAUAUUAGGUGUUGGCUAUUGAGAAGUGCUGUUACCUUGUAAGCCUGCCGUUGUGAAGUGCUAUGAACAGUCUAACAUGAAGUGAAGAUGUAGGAAUACUUUGUAUUGGUCUUCUUGUGGCCAAAGAGUUAUUACUAGCGCGGACCGAGUGACAGUUUUGUCAGAUUGAUUGUAGCUGUGGUUUUUGUUUCCUUUGCUAUGCUUUGUAUGAAAAAGGAAGGAUAUUGUACGUGUGCGUUGGAGUUCAUUUGUUGGGGAGAUCUACUUACAGUAGGUUUGUAUGUCUGAAGGCUGCAAUGUUUGUCCAUUUUGAUGUGGAAUCAUUGGGUACGUGUGUGUUUCUUUUUCUUUGCGUAUGGAGAUGGUAUCGUUGGCUUGUUCUGCACACGUUCUUUGCGUACCCAAUGUACAGUGCACAUCUAAAAGAAUAGAGCGAGCUAUGGUCACCUAUUCUUUUAGAUGUGCAGUGUAGCAUUUUCUCAUAUGGCUGGUCGGUGACGGGAAUAAUACUGGAGGUAGGUGUUGUAGUGCUUACUUCUCCCUCGUUUCUAUAGUGCGCAUUCGUGUUCUCAACCUGCAGAUGCAGAAUGAUAAAGAAAUGCAAGACUUGCCGCUCUCAGUGUAGAUGGUAAAAGAUUAAGUAGAUUGUAAAAUAAUAAGUAGGCACGACACCUACUUUUUUGUUCACAUAUAUAGUCACAAGGCGGACCACUGAAUUUGAUAAAAAUUCGAUGCUAAAAAAUCUUGCCAUGCUAUAAAUUGUCCUUUUAUCUGUUCAGUUCUACAAGGAAUAAUUUUAAGCCGUGGGCCUCUAUUUUCAACUCUGUUCAUCAACUACUAAGCGGAGCGAAGGAGCAGUGAAAAAGCUAGAUCAUCACAAGUAUUCAUGAGUCCAAUUCUGAAAUCCUUUAGAAGCUGUAUGGGAGUUUAAAAUUUUCUUUUGGAAAUGUCAAAACUAUUGGAACCCAGCAGCGGAGCGAAUAAAAACAGAGCACAACGAGCUAAUACUAGCUACCAAUGGAAACUAAAUGCAUGCAUCGAGAUGAACCACAUAAAUGAAAACGUUCGAAAGUAACGAGAGAGAAACAAAGGUAACCACUAACCACUGAUGCUCGAUGGCGACAAGGGGCUGUGACUUAACACGGAAGAUAAACUCUCUUUGCCCUAUUCUCCACGACAGAGGGGUUAGCUUUCACAGAAGAUUCAGCAUUUGAUUCAACAUUGCUGCGUUCAAGACAUUUUAAGCAAGGUGGUACAAACACUUCAUGUUUCUCUUUGAGUUGUUGGGUGAGAAGAGAAGUUUCUCUGAUCAAAUCAUCAUGAGCCUCUCUCAGCGACUCGAGUUCCUGUUUCUUUUUCAGGUGGUCAUAAGUCAAUCUCUCGUGAUCGACCGAGAGAAAAUCAUGACAAAUUGUUAGCUCUUCCAUUCGUGACUUGAGAGCGGAAUACUCUUCGACCAACGAUUGAUUUUUCUCCAUCUCCUCAACCAACAACCCUUCAGAUUUCUUGAGGGUUUUCUCAAUUUUCUCAAGAGAGUUUUGUUGAAUGUUAGCAAUUUUGAUCAGUUUAGCAUGGUCAUCCUCAUCAAAAGAAUAUUGAUCACUGGAGUGAACCUUGCGAUGUUUGGAGGAUACCUUUUCUUUCGAAGCUUUGGGCAUGAAGCAGUAGGUAGGAGAUUCGUCGUCACUUGAAUGAUUUUCGAAGAAGCUUGACGUAGGAGUAGAGGCACAUGCUAUUCCAGCCAUGCCGAUGUCAGAAUCCUCGCCAGAUUCAUCAAUUUCUUCGGAGUCAGAAGACUCUUCUUCAUCGGAGUCCAUCUGCUUGCCGGUGUAUGCCUUGGCCUUGCGAGAGGUAUUCUUGCGGUUGGAGGAGGACUUGGCGGGAUUCCUUGAGGAAGAUCUUGACGAAGGUUUUGAUGAGGAGCUGUUAAAAGGAUCGAUAUGGUUGACUGGGGGGGGGGUGAAUAGGCAACUACCAAAUUUUAGGCUUCCUUAAACAAAUUAAGAUUAGCAACAAAUAUGUUGUCUAGAAAUGCAACUAGGUGAACAACCUAUAUGAUGCUAACACAACACGCAACAUAAGCAAGUAAGGGAUACAACACAACAAAAGCUUGCACAAAGUAAAGGUAGAAAUAACCACAAGUGGAGCCGGUGGAGACAAGGAUGUGUUACCGAAGUUCCUUCCCUUUGAGGGGAAGUACGUCUCCGUUGGAGCGGUAUGGAUGCACAAUGCUCCCCAAGAAGCCACUAGGGCCACCGUAUUCUCCUGACGCCCUCGCACAAUGCAAGAUGCCGUGAUUCCACUAGUCACUGGUACGCAUCGGUCCUAUACAAACGGUUUUUAACCCCUUUCCGCGACGGCAUUUGGAACCGUCGCCAAGUGAGUGUGUGAUGCGGAGCAUCCCUCGCUCAUCCCCAUGGACGUGCCUACAUCUUCCUCAAGACCACUUGGACCCAUGACACGAGCCCGAGCUAAGGCUAUUGAAGCUAAGGUGAACUCGCUCCUCUCCGAACUUCCUCUUCCUACUCACGAGACAUGGCUACUACCUCAUUCAGAAACUUUGUGUGUGAUCAGGUGCUUGGAGGUGAGCCACGGACCAGCUACAUACAAGAGCCAAGACGGCGAGGACCCCAAGCAUGAUGGACAAGAAGAAGAGCUGCCAUGGAAGCUACAAGCGUCGGACGACCGACCGAGUCCGGACGUCCGACGAACGCCAGGACACGGACGACCGAACUCCCCGGACGUCCGGUACUUCGCCACCCGAACCAAAUCUACGGACGACCGGACGACAUGCAACCGAGCCGAAUCUACGGACGACCGACAAUCUCCGGACGUCCGGACAGUCACGAAGCUCCGGACGACCGACCCCCUCCGGACGACCGACGCGCCCACGUCAGAGCUGAAUCUACGGACGUCCGAGCACGACCGGACGACCGGACUGUCCCGAGCCUCCGGACGUCCGACGCCUUCCGGACGUCCGGCACCUGAGUGACCGUACCUGCGGGCUGGAGCCCUUGUAUCCCUUCGCUUUGACUUCCAUUUGCACUAAGACUAUAAAUAGGACGCCCCCACCUCCUAGUGAGGGUCAGCAUAGGUUUAGCUCAUAUUUUGUGUGAGAGCCUUGCUCAUCCACUUGGUUACUUCUCCUCGGAGCUCAGGACCUCUUCGGAGAAGAUCCCCCAAGCGGAUUCAAGACCCCUUUCUAGGGAAGACCAUCAAGACCUCCGUACGGAGAAGAACGGUUCCUUUGUAUCCUUACCUUUGUUGAUUGUGGAUCAUAUGUUACUCUAUGUUGUUGGUGAUCUAGCACUCAUGUGAUUGAUUCUAUGUCGGUUUAGUGAUUCUCUCUCUCGUUUUCCCCGUGUUUCCCCUUUGUGCUUCCGCGUGUUCUUCGUGUUUCCCCGUAGGAUCCACUCCAAACGUGAAAGAUCGUCACCAUAGGGUUCCGCCCUACAUCAUCUUGGUAUCAUGAGCCACGUUGAUCACGUUUUUGGAGCCCCUACCCCGUGUUUUCUAGCUUGAUUUUGUUGUUUUCGUCCUAAAUCCGAAAAUCCCCACCAAAAAUAGCCCAAAUUUUUUCUGUGAUUUGUUUGUGAGUUGAGAUUUUGUUGGAUUUGGUCCAUGGAUUUGUGUUGCUGCGUGUGGAGCUAGCUUUCCCCACCCUCCCCACCCUUUUCCAUCCACCAAAUCACUCGAUUUCGACCUCACCAUCUCCUUCUUCCCCGAAAUCUCGCAGUUCAACCCAAGCCCGAUUUUCGCCCAGGCUCCGGACGACCGGAAAAGGUCGGACGUCCGACGACGACCGGACGACCGUAAAAGCCCGGACGUCCGUAAAACCCUGACGCAACUGAAGUUUGACAGUUCGGCCACCACCACAACCCCACAUUACACCACACCUUCCAAACCAACAUACACCAACCUCUUCACCGAUACCUCCUAUGACGAUUUUGCCACAUUUUGGUCCUUGAGAUUUUGAGUUGUGACUCCCGUAUCCUUUUGUGUUUCGGCUAUCUAGGUACGGUUCGACUUCAUCAUCACCACGGCUCAACUUCGCAAGGGUCUCAUCAUCGCCAAGGACGGUAACUUCGACGACAUCUUUGUCAUACCUUGCAAUUGCAUUGAUAGCCAUCAUAACCCAUCUUUUGCGUUGCUUACCCAUCGAGACUAGCCAUUGAGUAUUGCAGGCAACGUGACUUGUGCACAUUAGUGAUCAUACUCCAUAGCAUACAUACCAUACAAUAGUGGUGCAUAUCUUGAGAUCAACUUGUGUGUCACAAAGUUGUCAUCGCAUACACAAUUACUAUCUUGGUUCGUGAAGUUUGCAUAAGAAAAGAGCUCAAAAGUGAAAGAGCCACCCAAGCUUUUAAGCAAAGAGGAAAGAUAAGCAAAGAGCUUAUAAGCAACAACCAUAGCAUCAUACAACAUUAAGAUUGUCAUAUCCGAUCAUCUUGGAUCAUUGCACCGAGACACCAAACAUAUAGCAUACUUGGGAUAGAGAUAAUUGCAUUUUUGCCUAGUAGGUUGUGCACAAGUUUGCGUAUCCGCCUAUUGUGCAAUUGUGCUAGCGUCUCUAGUAUUGUGCAACAAGAGCAUUUCCGUGGUUUCCACAUUUUGUCUCACUUUUGGAUUGCACAAUCCCAUCUAUCUAUUUGCGUGUGUGUUUCCGUGUACCCAUUCUUGCUUGGUCUACUUGUUGCAUUUGCAAAUUUGUGAAUCUUUUCCAACAUUAUUGAAGCUCACUUACAAUUGCAUCAAAUUUUGUGCCAUUAUCCUAACCAAGCUCCACCAUAAGCUUUUACGUGUGUAGGUGUGAGAACCGACAAGAAUUGGUACCAACAGUGCUAUUUCAUUGUCCGCAUUUGAGUGAACUUGAUUCAUCUUCAACUUCGGUCAAGGUACAUUUGGUACACGUUCUUUUCCUUCUACCACUCACAUUUUGCUUGGAAUGAUGGAUAGGCCAAGCUCUUCUACCACACCACCUCUCAUCGAGAACGACGACGACAUGUCAUCAUUCGUCACCAAGAGCCACCUAUUUGGAGCUCAAAAGGCAUUGCACCAAGAGCAACAAGCAAUGAGGGACUACUUCGACAACAAAUUCGACGCUCAAAAGCAAGAGAAUGAUGCAAGAAUGGAUGAGAUCCGCGCCUUCAUGAGGAACCGGCGUCCUUCCACUUCUUCCUCCUCAAUACGGAGACGCUCGAGUCGACACUCCGACGACACCUUCUCCGACUCAAGUACACCGUCAUCGAACACUCUUCGACGAGCUGCGCGUCAAGACCGACAAGCAUCUCGGAACCCGCUACAUGACAAGCAUUCACAUGAGCAAGUCGACGAGCACCUACAUCAUCCCGCACCACACCAAGUUGUUGAGUUCAUCAUGCAUGCCUUCAAGCCAAUCCGAGUCCUCAAGCGCUUCAUGUACCUUUUGGGGUUCAACACAAAAAAACAAACGCGUGAUGCUCACAAAAGUUAGUUAAUUGUCUAGUUACCCUUUUUCUUAAACUUCCAAGCACAUUCACCAACACAUGUUCUUGACACUUGAGAGCGGAGGAUAUCUUGUCGGCUCGAUGCUCCAAAAGUUCCUCCAAAGGCAUAUGAUUGUCAACUUGAGGGUCAUCAUCUUGAUCGCUUUGAGCGCCGUCUUGAACUUGCUCUUGAUCUUGAACUUGUUCUUGAUCUUGAGGUUGCUCGGAGGAGUGAACUUGAUCUUGGGCAUCACUUGGUGAACCAUCAUCACUAAUAGGUUCAUCUUGCUCUUGGUCUUGUUCAUAGGGUUGAGGGCCUUCACUUUGUUCUUCGGAAGCGUGUGAGUCUAGUGUUGGUGAUGGCUCAACUUGAGUGGAACCAGAUCCAGAGACACUUAAAUAGCAGGCAGUUUUGUAUUAUAGGCAUGCAAAGUUGCGCAAGACACACCACUCCAUCAGAAAAUGCACCAUUAAGAAUAGGGAUGAUUCAAAUCUAACAAAUGGAUACUAUUUGUGGAUUAAUAAGAAAAACAACCAACAUGUGCCUACUACAGGUGUCAGCCUGGCUAUGCAUGCAUCCACAAAAAAUAUAUUUCAAAACAACUCACCGCUAUCUUGACAGCAAUUUAGACUCGUAUUACUACAAACACAUCUAGUAAAUAUCUAACAAUUUCUACUUCUAUUACAACUCACACGAAUAUCACAUAGAAUGAGAUGCUAUGGAAGUUGUACACAACAAACAAACAUCACGCGGGGUGGAUCGAACACAACUUGGUUUCAGAGAUACAAACUGAAUCACACAUGAUGGAUCUCCCCCGUCUGUCAAACAGUCUCACUAAAAACACGCCUACUGAACUAAAAACACCCACUGAACUAAAAACGCCCACCCCCACUGAAUCUCUCUGUUCGAUGGGGCAAACACUAGAACAUGUAUCAACUCCAGGCCUACCAGGCUACCACCCACUGAAUUGACUCUAUUUUUUUAAAGAAGGAUAACCCCCGACCUCUGCAUCAGGACUAUGCAUGCAACCAUAUAUUAUUAAUAGAGCAAAAUCCAACAGCCGAACACCAUCAUCCAAAAAAAAAAUGCGAAAAACAAACCCUGAGGCCAUAUACCUCGAGACAGUAACUCCCCCAGAUAACCACUAACCCUAUGAUACAAGACACAACAUAAACGAAAAAUACACAACUCCUAGGCUACCCCUUCAAGAAGGAAUCACCGCACGUGCGCCGAUGAUGGUGAGUUCACCACAAGGUUGAACUUCGGAUUCUCAUCCCCAAAGCAAAGCUUCAAUCCACCACCUUCAGCAAGCAUACGACCCAGGCGCACAACGACAUAGCCUGAUCAAAGAUCUUGUGUUUCCAUCGGAGUGCAUAAGUCUGAAUUGAAUCUCUAGACACAAAAAUCUACCGUCCCGUUGAAUCCAUACACAAGAUUUGUCGAUUGGGGGCAAACCCUAGAUCGAUGGAUACACAAAAGAAGAACACAAAAAGGGAGGGGAAAUUACUCACUUCACUGCGGGGGUCUCUCCUCCCUUCUCACUCUCGACAACGCCGUCGCCUGGAACCCCUUCGGAGAGGAAAGAGUGUGGAUUGAGCAAAGGAAUGGGAAUCACCACCUCCCCUCACGAUGAAAAAAAACAGGGAAAAUGCGAGGCGACAGCAACAACCGAGACAAAACAAAAUGGCCCACCAGCCCAAAAAUCGGGAAAAGAAACACAAGCAAUGGCCCGCCCCUACUCGCACGGCCGCGAACGCGGGCCAUUGCGCCUGACAACGUGACGCAAUUAAGUUGCACGAAUAUUAUAGACAAAACAAGAUGUCGUUCUAGACUUAGAUGUGAGAUAAUAUUUCACAUCUACUCCCUCUGUUCCUAAAUGUAAGUCUUUCUAAAGAUUGCAACAAAUGACUACAUACGGAGCAAAAUGAGUGAAUCUACACUCAAAAUAUGUCUACAUACAUCCGUAUGUUGUUGUCUAUUUAAAAUGUCUAAAAAGACUUAUAUUUAGGAACGGAGGGAGUAGAUGUGAAAUAGCAGUUCCGUAUAGAUAUAGGCUGAUGCAGGUGCUGUGCUUCUGCUGGACGCGCGCGCAAGGCUUCGUUCCUCGGUUUGGUGAUUGCACUAAGUAUAUAUACAAGUACGACGCCUGCAAAUUCACGAAUAAGUGAAAGAUGCUGUUUUUUCUCAUGCGUAGUACUCCCUUCGUUCGGAAUUACUUGUCGCAAAAAUGGAUGUAUCUAGACGUAUUUUAGUUCUAGAUACAUCCAUUUCUGAGACAAGUAAUUCCGAACGGAGGGAGUACUUUCAGCUGGCAAUAUUUUAAAAGGUCGUCAGUCCACUGUUUCCUUUCCUCGCUCAAGAAGGUCCUCUUACAAACCUAGUGGCUGCCGGUUCCCCCUCCUUUGACCAGGCUCACCAAUAUUGGGAGGGGUCUUCACCAUUGAUCGGCACCCCUGCUUUGACCGACCACAACGGCAUUGGGAGGGAUGGAGAUAGAUCGGUCCCCCCUCCUUUGACCGACCUCACCGACAUUGGAAGGGAUGGAGAUAGAUCGGUUCCCCCUCCUUCGACCGGCCUCACUAGCAUUUGAAGAGAUGGAGACAGAUCGGUUCCCCCUCCUUUAACCGGCCUCGCCGACAUUAGGAGAGAUGGAGAUAGAUCGGUCCCCACUCCUUUGACCGGCCUCACCGGCAUUGUGUGGGAUAGAGAACGCCAUCUAUGAGUUGAGUUCUUAAUAAUAGUAGUAUUUUAUUAAAUUGGUUUAGGGUUUUGAUAGCCGUCUUCUUCAUUGAAAGAUUUAUCUAUUAUUUUUACUUUUACGGCCGUCUUCAGAGAAAUAUAUUGAAGAUUUGCUAGUUUCUUUUAGACUUUAUUUUGUAAUUGCUGUAGUUAGCUCAUGUAUCUCUAACAUGUACAAUUCCCUACUAUAAAUAUAUCAUGGUAUUGAUUGUCAAAAAUAUUUUGUUUCAUCAAGACAGAUUUUCCUUUUAGAGAAGGCACGCUCAACGACCAACAACAAAUUACAACUAUGCUGGUUCGUUUCUUCUUUCUUUGAUUGCAUGCUACAAGUCUGUCGAAGCUCGAAAAUGAACAAGGGACACAUGCACGGGGCGGCCUCGCCAUACCAGUUUUUCAAGACUGCAAUAGCCACUUACCAGGCAUAUCAUGCCACGCAACAAUCCUUCACUAGUCCAAAGGGUCGAUGAAACCCACAGCCUGCCACAAAAGGAAUCUAACAAAGAGGGCAAAAUUGCCCCACCAAGAGCCAAUGCCUCAGGUCUAGCAACAUACAACAGCUUACAAAUUAAGUGCCUUUAAAAUCCAGAAUGUAUAUUCUUUUUCUGUCGAAAUACCAGUCAAAUUAUGGGCAAGCAAACAGCAGAGAAAGGAGGCACCAAUUAGUUCCAAACAUCUAAAAUUGCUUUUAAAUCAACCAGACUUAUAGCAAACCAGCAGGAUUCAUGCAGGAAAAUCACAAUGAUGCAUGUAGCCAGAAUCAGCAGUCACAAAAAUAAACAAGCCAUUACCAGUUACAAAUCCAAAACAAGCCACUCAGUAGACAUAAAGCCAUGAGUGAAAACACAUACUACCCACCAUUCAGUUUAUAACUACUAACAUCAGAUAAUGACAACAGUAAAUGUCUCCAGUGGACUUUAAGUACCAGUUCCACAUGUUAUGUUGCCAACAUCUCAAAUCUUCAACGUCUUUCCACUCGCACCGAACUCUCUUGCUUCUAUCUCUCUCUGGCCAAAAAAAAAAAAACAGAGAUGUCUGUCAAAAACAAUACUUUUAACAUGACCGUAUGUCAGGUUACCUAAAAAUAAUUUUAAAAAGGAACAAGUGCAAGGUUGAGUACAUAUGCAGUGAUAUCAAUUAAUUGGGCAAAACCAAUAAAAUGUCUAGGCUCAGUCCAGGAUGCUGUGAAUUAAAAUUGUUGAAGCAGCUAUAUUUGUCAAAGGUACAUUUUGGUAUUUUUGACAUCUUCAAUUCAGACACUUUGCAGUGUUCAGCUCUGGUUUGAAAUUAUGCUUCAUCUGCUAUGUUCAUUUUUGAAUGCACUUGACUCGUGCAAUUCCAAGUUCAGAAACAAACUACAGGUACGCUGUUAUAUUCACCAAAUGCCCAGGUCAUCAAAUCUUAAAGUGGAGAGGUGAAGCUAAUGAUAACACUAUCUCUAUCAAGUAAAAAAGGAAGAAGAAAAAACAGGAUUGAAACAUGCAAAGGAGUGUCAUCAUGAUGUGCAAGUCCUAAUAUGACAAGGGGGCAGAGUAAUUUUGUAGUAAAAAAGAAUGAUUUCAGAAUCAUGACUGCGGAUGAGCAUCAAUAUCAGGCAUCUACUCUUAAACCUGGUGAGGUGGCCAAAUCUCCUUUUCAAUUAGCAAGUAUGAAGCAAAGUGGAUGUGAUACUGAUAAACAAGCAUUAGAAUGUUAAAUCAUUUUAAAACCUAGGCAUAAUUACAGUAGCACAGAAAUGAAAGCAUGUUCAGUGAUGGCGAAUAUAAAUAAAAUGACAGUAGUAUGCAAAUGAAACUAUGCUUAGUGGUGGUGGUAGUACCGGUCAAUCCUGUAAAUGCUGUCGGUACGCACUGAACUCGCUGGCAAAGAGUUGGUAACAAAUACGCCUUGUAGGCUGUGGAGAGAUCUGGAUCUCGUUACUCUUCAUGUCAACACGAAGCAAAUACUGGCCUUUAUGAUCUAGUCGAUGGUCCACGAUGCUUUCAUCAUUCACGACCAAGUAGACAACCCCGUCUUCAUGGAUGCUCAGGACAGGAAGAGACGGAAUAAGCUGUCUCAAAACAGUAGACUGAUAGUUGACGUUUGCCCAGAUUUUAUCAACAUUGUACUUGGAGGUUUCGAUCCAGUCUGAGUGAUCAGUCAACAGAGUCCAGACCGAGAGUUCCAAUCCAGAUUCAUCCAAGGAGACAAGCUUGAUGUGGUCACAAACACAGGCCAUGGAACGGAACUCCUCUGGGCGGGUGCAGAACUUGUUGAUAAAGCUGGACUCCUCUAAGUUGCAAUCCAGGGCUGGACAGUCUAGUGGCAGCUUGAUAAAGCUGAACUUGUUGUCGCAGUCUUGGUUGAGAUCACAGAGGAACAUGCCUUUGAGCAGAUCCACCCAGCAAAGGGUAGAGCCCCGGUAAGAGAAGCACAAGUCAACGGUGAAUCUGCUGGAUGGAAGGGGAUGGCUCCCGGGUAACGAGACCCAUUCUGGUUGUGGGGCGGACGACUUCCACAGCCAGACCCCGGCCUGGGAGAAUCCUUUCUUGAUGAGCUCGGCAAGAACGUAGCCCUCCCCUUGGGCGUCGCACAUGACGACGGCCGACUGGUGCCCCAUGACUCCAUGCAAGUCGUCGGAGGGGAGACGGGGGAUGACGGAGAGGGAGUCCUUCCUGGCGUCGUAGAUGAGAUAGCCUCCCGACAAACUAGAGCCAGGGCGGUACCCGCCGGCGUAAAGGGCGACCAGGUUCUUGUCCGUGCUGGAGAUGCGGCCCGAGUCCAGGUCCAUGAAUGGAGGCGGGAGCGGGAGGGAUUGCGGCGGCACCAGUAUGUGGAGGAAGGAGAGCUCCGGCGGAUUGUCGACGACUGCGCGGGCCUUGAAGGUCCGCAGGUACUUGAUGACUUCAUCACUCCUGGCUUCGCGGGUUUGUAGUCCUCUUCCUUCCCAGAAUCCCCACCGGAACUGUCGGCCGGAUAGCGCCUCAUCGUGGGGGGUGAAAUCAAUCUCGCGGUCGAGCAGAACCAUGGAACGGGCCAUGGCGGCUAGCUAGCUUUGGAUUAGGGUUUGGUGGAGGGAGAAGGGAUUUGGGGAUCGAUGGUGGUGGCGCGGCUAGGGUUAGGGUUAGGGUUGGGUUGUGGAAGCAGCAGGCAGCGAUUUGAUUUGGGGAUCGAGCGAGGAAGGAGAAGCCGGGUUGGGCUUUUGCCCAGAUCUAAAAUAGCAGGCGUGAAGGGGGAGACGGGACUCGCCCGGAUCGCUGAUCGGUCAGCGGACGGUGGAUAUGUUAUCGCGGCAGACACACGAGGAGGGCCUGCAGUUCGGCCCAAGUUUUAGCCUGUCAUCAUCAUUUAGCAAAAAACCGCACGUUGGGCGCCGGUCGGCAAAAUAAAAAUCACCAACAAAGUCAAUGUAGAAAAAUCUACUAAAAAAUCAAUGUAGCAAAAAAAAAUUAACUAGCAAGUUCCAGCAAAACAUAAAGCUGGUUCUAGCAAAACCACAUCGGCGGUGGGAGGCGCAUCCAGUUCGAGCAGAAAUCACAGGAAGCAAAUCUCCAUCUCCAUUUCCAUCCAUCCAUCCACUACUAUUAAACAAGCGAGUUGAGGCAGAAACAUUAGAUCUCAGCCACAUAUCCACCAUUCAUCAAUGGACCAGAUUGUCCCGAUGUUGUAUCACAACAUUCACAUAUUUAUUAAUUAAUUUUAGUCAUCACCACAACACGUUUAACUACGAAUCAUUGCGCUACCUUCAUUAGGAGACAAAUCAUCACAUCAUAUAUCAUAUCAUUUUUAGAACACCUAAAUUAGGAAUCAAUGUACCUUAAUUACACGUUCAUUAGGAAAUAAAUCGUGACACCACAUAUCCUGUAAUUGGAAAAUAAAAUAUUAGCCAAAAGAUCAGAGCUAAAUAUAUAUAUAUAUAUAUAUAGUAUAUUUUUUAUAGUCCAGCCAGCCUUGUUUUUUGAUUUCCAGCCCAACCGCUGUUUGUUGUGUUUUUUUAUUGUCCACCCCAGUUUUGGGAAAAAGGCAGAAAAAUUCGGCGCACCUAACGAGAAUAGAACUCUCAACCAUCUUGCACCUAAACGCAUCCACUGGAACUAAUGAAUGCUGGUGGUAAAAGAUCAACGCGAAUAUUUAAGAACUCAAUGCUGCAUGAAACCUUGUCUGAACAAUUUAUUGAAAAAUUGUGAAUAAUUUUGAAAAUGCCGCUUUUUUUAAAACAGAAGGAAUUUUUGGAACUCCAAGUUUUUUUUGAAAAUUCUUAACAAAAAUAUAAUUCCAAACACUUUUUGAAACAUGAGAAGUUUGGGAAAUGCGAACAAUUUUUUAUAUCCUGAAAAUACUUUUAAAUGUGAACAAUUUUGAAAAUUCUGGACUUUUCUGAAAACACGGACAAAUUUUGAAAAUGGACACAUUUCUUGAAAUUCCCAAAAAAAUCAAAAAAAAAUGAAAUGUUUUACGAAAACAUGAACACCUUUUGAAUUUGUGAAUAAUUUUUUAAAAAUAGGAGCAUGUUUCAAACAUUCAGAGCAUUUCUUAUAAACAAACUAAAGUUUUGUAGUGUAGGAUGAACUUUUUAUAUAUACAAUAAACAUUUUCUUUAACAAACUGAACAUUUUUUAGUGUACUGUGAACCUUUUUAAUUUUCUAGCGUGUACUUGUAUGCGCUGAUUGUCAUGCAAGCCUUUUAUGCCUUGCGUUGGAUAUGUGCAUGUGCUAGUACGUACCUUGAUAUGCACAAAACAUGCAAAGCUCAUCGAAGGAUCAGCUAAUGCAUGUACUGGUGUGAUGACAUGCUUCCUUCCCUAUGUAUCCUACCCAUAACAAAUAACUUCCACAUUCAACAAAUGAAUUGUAGGGCUUAGUCACGUAAGAGGCAAAAAAAAAAAUCAGCCCCAUUUACGAGUCGAUAGUGGACUUGCAACCGAGGAAACAAAUGUAGGCUCAGUUGUGAGUCAAAUAAUGGAGUUGCAAACUAGGGAAAAAAGGUCAAAGAGCCCAAUUGCAUGUUAAUGGUGGACAACUCUGGCAAAUAAAAGGGUCAACCCAGUUGCAAGUCGAUGUUGGACUUGCAAUUGGGUAAAAAACGUCGGGCCGAAUUGCAAGUCAAGGGUGGACUUACAAAUAGGGCAAAAAAGGGAUGAAGGGCCCAAUUACGAGUCGAUGUUGAACUUGCAAUUGGGUAAAAAACGUCGGGCUGAAUUGCAAGUCAAGGGUGAACUUACAACUAGGGCAAAAAAAGGAUGAAGGGCCCAGUUAUGAGUCGAUGUUGGACUUGCAAUUGAGUGGCCGAAUUGCAAGUCAAGGGUGGACUUACAACUAGGGCCAAAAAAGGAUGAAGAGCCCAGUUGCAUGUUAACAGAGGACUUGCAAUUAGGUUGAAAAAAAAGGCCCGGGCCUAGUUACAAGUCGUUGGUUGACUUGCAACUGCGGUAAAGAAAAGGAUCAAGAGCCCAGUUUGAGCCGAUGGUUGUCUUGUAAUUGGGAUAAAAAAGGGGUGGGCCUAGUUGCGAGUCGAUGGUUCACUUGAGAUUGGGACAAAAAAAGUCAACACCUAGUUGCGAGUCAAGAGUGGACUUGCAACUAGGGCAAAAAGGAUCAAGGGUCCAGUUGCAUGUCAGUGGACUUGAGAUUGGGACAAAAAAAGUCAACACCUAGUUGCGAGUCAAGAGUGGACUUGCAACUAGGGCAAAAAGGAUCAAGGGUCCAGUUGCAUGUCAGUGGAGAACUUGCAAAUGGGACGAAAGAAGGCUCGAGCCCAGUUGCAAGUAGUUGGCUGAGUUGCAACCACGGAAAAGAAAAGGAUCGAGAGCCCAUCUUUGAGUUAAUGGUUAAAAUAGGAGCGGUCCCAGUUGCGAGUCGAUGUUAACUUGCAAACUGUGACCCAAAAAAAUCAACACCUAGUUACGAGUCAAUGGUGGACUUGCAACUGAGGAAAAAAAAUCAGACCUAGUUGCACGUUAAGGUGGACUUGCAACUAAUGCAAAAAAAAGACUCGAACCUAAUUAUAAAAUAGAAGAAACAUCAAACCGGUUGCGAGUGAAGGGUGGACUUGUAACUGGAUGAAAGGAUCGAUAUAGUUGACUAGAGGGAGGGGGUGAAUAGGCAACUAACAUUUUUUAGCUUUUCUUUACCAAUUUAAACUUUGCAUCAAAGUAGGUUGUCUAGAUGUGCAACUAGGUGAGCAACCUAUAUGAUGUAACAACAACAAGUACACAAGCAAGUAAGAGAUGCAACACAAUAUAAGCUUGCACAAGUAGAGGUACGAGAUAACCAAGAGUGGAGCCGGUGAAGACGAGGAUGUGUUACCGAAGUUCCUUCCUUUUGAGGGGAAGUACGUCUCCAUUGGAGCGGUGUGGAGGCACAAUGCACCCCAAGAAGCCACUAGGGCCACCGUAUUCUCCUCACGCCCUCACACAAUGCGAGAUGACGUGAUUUCACUAUUGGUGCCCUUGAAGGCGGCGACCGGACCUUUACAAACAAGGUUGGAGCAAUGUCCACAACUUAAUUGAAGGCUCCCAAAGACACCACGAAGCUUCACCAUAAUGGAAUAUGGCUCCGCAGGUGACCUCAACCGUCUAGGGUGCUCAAACACCCAAGAGUAACAAGAUUCGCAAGGGAUUAGUGGGGGGAAUCAAAUUUCUCUUGGUGGAAGUGCAGACCAGUGCCUCCUCAACCAAUCCCUAGAAAAUUAACAAGUUUGAUUGGCUAGGGAGAGAGAUCAGGCGAAAAUGAAGCUUAGAGCAACAAUGGAGCUUGGGAGUGGAAGAUGUGGUUAACUUGGAGAAGAAGACUCCCCUUUUAUAGUGAAAGAACAAAUCCAACCGUUAUCUACUAACUCAGCCCGCGACGAGCGGUACUAGCACACGAUACAAGCGGUACUACCGCAAGGGCCCGCGGUACUACCACGAGGCUGUUGGAAAUAUUCCCUAGAGGCAAUAAUAAAUUAGUUAUUAUUAUAUUUCCUUCUUCAUGAUAAUCGUUUAUUACCCAUGCUAUAAUUGUAUUGAUAGGAAACUCAGAUACAUGUGUGGGUACAUAAACAACACCAUGUCCCUAGUAAGCCUCUAGUUGACUAGCUCGUUGAUCAACAGAUGGUUACGGUUUCCUGACCAUGGACAUUGGAUGUCGUUGAUAACGGGAUCACAUCAUUAGGAGAAUGAUGUGAUGGACAAGACCCAAUCCUAAGCCUAGCACAAAGAUCGUAGUUCGUAUGCUAAAGCUUUUCUAAUGUCAAGUAUCAUUUCCUUAGACCAUGAGAUUGUGCAACUCCCGGAUACCGUAGGAAUGCUUUGGAUGUACCAAACAUCACAACGUAACUGGGUGGCUAUAAAGGUUCAUUACAGGUAUCUCCGAAAGUAUCUGUUGGGUUGGCACGAAUCGAGACUGGGAUUUGUCACUCCGGUUAACGGAGAGGUAUCUCUGGGCCCACUCGGUAGGACAUCAUCAUAAUGUGCACAAUGCGACCAAGGGGUUGAUCACGGGAUGAUGUGUUACGGAACGAGUAAACAGACUUGCCGGUAACGAGAUUGAAUAAGGUAUCGGGAUACCGACGAUCGAAUCUCGGGCAAGUACAAUAUCGCUAGACAAAGGGAAUUGAAUACGGGAUUGAUUGAAUCCUCGACAUCAUGGUUCAUCCGAUGAGAUCAUCGUGGAACAUGUGGGAGACAACAUGGGUAUCCAGAUCCCGCUGUUGGUUAUUGACCGGAGAACCUCUCGGUCAUGUCUGCAUGGUUCCCGAACCCGUAGGGUCUACACACUUAAGGUUCGGUGACGCUAGGGUUAUAGGAAAUAGAUAUACGUGGUUACCGAAUGUAGUUCGGAGUCCCGGAUGAGAUCUCGGGCGUCACGAGGAGUUCCGAAAUGAUCUGGAGGUAAAGAUUGAUAUAUUGGACGAAGGGUUUUGGAGUCCGAAAGUGUUCCGGAGGUACCAGGUGAUGACCAGCAUGACCGAAAGGUGUUUCGGGAGCCCCGACAAGUGUUUGGGGGCUUCAUGGGCCAAGGGAAGGGGGAAAACCAGCCCACUAAGGGGCUGUGCGCCCCCCCACCUAUUCCCACGUGACCAGGGGGUUUGGGGCGCCCCAUCUAGGGUUCCCACCUCCUGGCUUGGGGGCCAAGUCACCCAAGGGGGAGAUCCCAUCUGCCCUGGCCGCCGCCCCCCCUAGGGGAAACCCUAGGGCGCCUCCCCUCCCCUUUGCCCCUAUAUAUAGUGGAGGUUUUGGGGCUGCCUAACACACGAGUUUCUCUCCCUCUUGGCGCAGCCUUACCUCUCUCCCUUCUCCUCUCCCGCGGUGCUUGGCGAAGCCCUGCAGGAUUGCCACGCUCCUCCAUCACCACCACGCCAUUGUGCUGCUGCUGGACGGAGUCUUCCUCAACCUCUCCCUCUCUCCUUACUGGAUCAAGGCGUGGGAGACGUCACCGGGCAUUGGCUGCGUGCGUAUCGUACGUCGCGUGGUUGCCGGUUCUGGCGAUCAUGAUGGGAUGUGGCUCCUGCAUGCUCUGCCGAUGAUGGGAGUUGGGGAUAGGAAAAGCAGGCCGAGAUUCGAGGAAAAUGUGUGUAGAGAGAGAGGAGAGAGAGAGAGGGGAGGGGCUGACUUGGUUUGCCGGUUUGAGACACGCAAGAGUUGUACCGCUCCGGUAAACAGGCGUACCACCUUCCGUCUACACUAGGACCCGUUCCCACUUUUGACUGGGAUGACCGCGUACGUCUGUGUGCGUGACCCCUCUGUGUAGUGUGUCACGGGCGCACUCUUCUUCUUUUUUUUGUAUCACGGGUGCACAUAUGGAUAAGCGUUUGUUUGCUUAUCCAUUUUCUCCUUUGAGCAAAUGAGAUGAGAAAAUUGGAGUUAAAAAACCUCUGAAAAAGUAAGAUUUACUAAAUGCCAGAGAUUAUAUAGUAGUAUUAGAUAAAAAAGAAAUAAAAGUACGUAUCUCGGAAACUAACCUAAGUUAUUUGGCUCUUUCAUUAAGCCUUCAAAGGUGCCUAACCUGUAGUGCCUACUAUAGUUUUAGAAAGUUUACAUGCAUGAUUCUUUUGUGCAUUACUAGUUUUUGCAUUACAUUAACUGGACACCGUUUUCUUAUGCAAAGAAGAAAUGAAAGCCGAAGAUUAGACAAAAAAUAUAUUUAAAGUAUGUAUUCUAAAAACUAGCCUACAUUAUUUUGUUUUCCGUUAAAGGCUUCGAACACGGUUAAUAUGGAAUACUUAGUGUGUUUUUUUUGAAAGUUUAUGUUAUUCUUUUUGCAUCACACCAGUUUUUCUUUGUUAAAAGGACGUACAAUGUGAAAAAUAUAUUUCUUUGUAACAAAAUCAGCAGAGAGGGACCCAGGUUUGUAUUCUUGUUUUUCUUUACUUUCUUUUCUGAAAGAGGCAUCACACCCCUCUAAAAUAAACCAAAAAAUACACCAAUGUCCCUAGGGUCUGAUUCUCUUCUUCCUCGAGAACAGGCUGAUGGCGCGCCACCCCUGAUGCCUCUCCAUCGGCACAGCCAGCUCGUCAUUGUAGAUUGCGUGCGGCAAGCCAUCAAGGCCUACAUGACCAAUGCUUUCGAUAAAACAAACGUCGAAGCAUUCGCCGCCGGAAGAUCCACACAUCCAAGAUCACAACCUUUGAAAAUAAGUUCUCACGCCUCAUGAUAACACCGGAGCCCUCACCAAUGUGACGAAGAGGAAUCCGAAUGGCCAAAUUGCAAAGGGGAGCUGCCAUCACCGCCACACCAACAAACUUACAAAUGGUGAGGACAUGGACAAAACGUCCCAAAUGACAGAGACAACUAAGGACGAAAUGUAGUAGACGACCCAUGCGACAAAGGACGAGGCAUUCAAUACAAUGUAGGGCACCGACUUCUGCACCGUGAGAGCAAGGACCAGGCCGGCGGCUUCCUCGGUGAGAAGACGGAGGUGAUAAGUACUCCCUCCGUCCAAAAACGGAUGGAGUAGAAGGAAUGCUAAAAAGAGUAAUUCGUACAUGAACUUGCACGGUGGGUACAUAGUCAUACGACAACUUAGGAAAGACACAAGUUGAUCAUGUAACUUGAUGUUCGGGAACACUUGGGCAGAUUUCCGUCGCUCCUGUUUUGUUGAUUCCACCUACAUGGCAUGCCACCGUGGUAGCAAGUCCCACAUGUUUGUGGGGGAGAGAAAGAGAUAGAAAAUAAAAUGGUGUGCCACACGGAUUGGACACGCGCGGGCUAAUCAACCCAACCGAAGAAUGUUGUCACCGUAUAUAGAGAUGGAUUAUUUUCUACUCCCUCCGUACAGAAUUACUCAUGAAAUGGAUGUGUCUAUAACUAAAAUAUGUCUAGAUACAUCCAUUUCUCCAACAAAUAUUUCCGGACGGAGGUCCUUUCCACAAUACAUGUGCAAAUACACUUGUUAGUGGGCGUGAUUUUUUUUCCAUCCGAUCAAAAAAUGGAUUGUAUCCCACUACCAGAAAGGUAACAGAACGAAAGAAAGAAGAAAGCAUCCAAGUUGCAACAAACCAACAAACUCAAACGCUGCAUAAGUUUUGCUGUGUGUAGAUAUAAGUCUAUCGCGUCGAGUGGUACGCCACAAUGUGAGUCGCUAGGUGAGCAGCGUCGUUGAUGGGGAGGAGGACAUGCUCGAUAAGAUGCUCUGUGCUUUCAUGCAAGAGGGUCUUCGUCUCCCCUGCUGGGGAGGUCACCGGGGAGCGGUUGAUAACAUCGUCCUUAAGUAAUGAACAUAGCUUGUUCCCCUUCUUCAGGAAUUUCCUCUUGUAUUUUUCGAAUAGUUUCUUCUGCAUUAGAAGUUUGCUCUCCCAAUUAUUGUUGCAUUAAGUGAACAUUAGGAAUGAGCUUGCAUGUAUGACCAUGCAUCCACUUGUCUCCAUACCUCCAACAUUCUCCUACUUUCCCGAGUUUCUGAAAUGUGCCAGUAGUGCUUUCGGUUUGUUUGACAGGUAUACUCUAUUGUAUAUGUGUUGUUGUGUUACUAUUUUUGAUCUAGAAACUUCCAUUGUUCUUUUGAUAAUAAUUGACAUAAGGACCGAUUUGCUUCUUAGGGAUUGCACUAACUAUAGGUUAGUUAGGUUCCACUUCCUUGGCUAGACAAUAAGCACCAGUCAGUGAUUGUGGCCUUAAUGGUCUAACCUGGAAUUUAAUUCCCCCCCUUAAAUCAUUCACAUAACACCUGACAAACUACAAUUCUCCCAGCUCAGCAUUUUCUUCCAGCACAUCUUCCAUUAGCCCUUCAAAGGUUUCAGUUAAGUCAUAAGAGCCUUGCUCUGAAAAUAUCCUCACCAUCUCAACUCCAAACUAUUUCAAGGAGAGUUGUUUCUUCGAUUUCCCAUGUCUUCUCAAUCAUAUAUCAGCUUCAUCAGUGACAUACAUUUGAGCAAGAGAUACAUUUAACUCCUCAGGUGCAACAAACAUCCAAAAAUAUUUAUUACAUUGCCUUAUCUAGCCUACUAGAUAUUCCACAGAAAAUAUAGUUUGGGACUUUUAGUUAAGGAUUUCAUGAACCGUGCUUGCACCUCUCGUACAUAUGUUCUACAGUACCAUUGCCAUAGUUGCAUGUCUUUGUUCUAUUGAUAAAAUUGAUUGAAUGCAGGAGUGUGUACAUUGUUUCUUGCAGUAACUAGGUUUCCUGCCACACUAUUAGUGUCCUGUCUCACUUGGAUGGGAAACCCAGGAGGCGUUGUUGCCCUGUUAGUUCUAAUAGGUGGCCAAUUCUGCACUUCUAAGUUCUCCAAUUGCUUAGACGUUUCGUUCUCUGCUGCUAAUUGCUUCCUCAACCGAUUCACUCUUUCAACUUUUUCAUGUGUUUGCUCAUGAUGCAAGGUAGGAGAUCUGAGCACUUGAGUCGAACUGGAAGGGUUAUCACUUUGAGGCAUGUUCUACAUUGUUUUCACCAAUGUGUGAAGAACAGAAUUGAUAGCUGAAAGUUGCUUACUAAAGUCCAAAAGUACUUUCUCUACAUACCCAACUUGUAAUGAAAUUCCUCCCUGCUUGGAACUUAUCGACUGUGCUUCCUCUUUGUAAUUUAGACACCUGAGUUUGCAUUUGGGCACUAUCUUUUAGCAGAACACCAAAAUCAUCGCGCAAGGAUAGAACCUCUUGAAGAUCCACCUCAUCGAUUGCUUUUGCGCGUCCCAUCCCCUUGAUCUGAGGUGUAGGUUAGGAAUUUUACCACUAGGAAUCACCUAGCAACCAUCCCUAAACCUCUGAUCCUGCCGCCAUCGAGAUCCAUGCCUCCCUGGCACACGGAUCAGUGCCUGAACGUGGGAUUUUACUGCUCGAGCAGAGUACUCGAACAACCACCUCUGCUCUACUGAUCCAUGCCCGAACUCUCACCGACUCGAGCGCCUCCACACCGCCACCCCGAACCUCAACCCCUCCGUCGACGCCGCCCGAUACACCUGUUGGGUUUCGUAGUAAUUUCAAAAAUUUUCCUACGCACACGCAAGAUCAGGUGAUGCAUAGCAACGAGGGGAGAGUAUUGUCCACGUACCCAACGCAGACCGACUGCGGAAGCGAUGACACGACGUAGAGGAAGUAGUCGUAUGUCUUCUCGAUCCAACCGAUCAAGCACCGAAACUACGGCACCUCCGAGUUCGAGCACACGUUCAGCUCGAUGACGAUCCCCGGACUCCGAUCCAGCAAAGUGUCGGGGAAGAGUUUCGUCAGCACGACGGCGUGGUGACGAUCUUGAUGAACUACAGCAGCAGGGCUUCGCCUAAACUCCGCUACAGUAUUAUCGAGGAAUAUGGUGGCAGGGGGCACCGCACACGGCUAAAGAAUAGAUCACGUGGAUCAACUUGUGUCAACUUGUAUGUUUUGGGGUGCCUCUACCUCAGUAUAUAAAGGAGCCAAGGGGGGAGAGGGGCGCCGGCCAAGGAGGAGGGCGCAGGAGGAGUCCUACUCCUACCGGGAGUAGGACUCCCCCCCAAUCCUAUUCCAACUAGGAUUCCCAAGGGGGAAAGAGGGAGAGGGGUGGCCGGCCACCUCUCCUAGUCCUAAUAGGACUAGGGGAAGGUGGGAGGCGCGCAGCCCCCUUGGGCUGCCCCUUUCUCCUUUCCACUAAGGCCCAUGAUGGCCCAUAUGGCUCCCGGGGGGUUCCGGUAACCUCCCGGUAACCCGGUAAAAUCCCGAUUUCACCCGGAACACUUCCGAUGUCCAAACAUAGGCUUCCAAUAUAUUAAUCUUUAUGUCUCGACCAUUUCGAGACUCCUCGUCAUGUCCGUGAUCACAUCCGGGACUCCGAACAACCUUCGGUACAUCAAAAUGCAUAAACUCAUAAUAUAACUGUCAUCGUAACCUUAAGCGUGCGGACCCUACGGGUUCGAGAACAAUGUAGACAUGACCGAGACACGUCUCCGGUCAAUAACCAAUAGCGGGACCUGGAUGCCCAUAUUGGCUCCUACAUAUUCUACAAAGAUCUUUAUCGGUCAGACCGCAUAACAACACACGUUGUUCCCUUUGUCAUCGGUAUGUUACUUGCCCGAGAUUCGAUCGUCGGUAUCCAAUACCUAGUUCAAUCUCGUUACCGGCAAGUCUCUUUACUCGUUCCGUAAUACAUCAUCUCACAACUAACAUAUUAGUUGUAAUGCUUGCAAGGCUUAUGUGAUGUGUAUUACCGAGAGGGCCCAGAGAUACCUCUCCGACAAUCGGAGUGACAAAUCCUAAUCUCGAAAUACGCCAACCCAACAUCGACCAUUGGAGACACCUGUAGUACUCCUUUAUAAUCACCCAGUUACGUUGUGACGUUUGGUAGUACCCAAAGUGUUCCUCCGGUAAACGGGAGUUGCAUAAUCUCAUAGUCAUAGGAACAUGUAUAAGUCAUGAAGAAAGCAAUAGCAACAUACUAAACGAUCGUGUGCUAAGCUAAUGGAAUGGGUCAUGUCAAUCAGAUCAUUCAACUAAUGAUGUGACCUCGUUAAUCAAAUAACAACUCAUUGUUCAUGGUUAGGAAACAUAACCAUCUUUGAUUAACGAGCUAGUCAAGUAGAGGCAUACUAGUGACACUUUGUUUGUCUAUGUAUUCACACAUGUAUUAUGUUUCCGGUUAAUACAAUUCUAGCAUGAAUAAUAAACAUUUAUCAUGAAAUAAGGAAAUAAAUAAUAACUUUAUUAUUGCCUCUAGGGCAUAUUUCCUUCAGUCUCCCACUUGCACUAGAGUCAAUAAUCUAGUUCACAUCGUCAUGUGAUUUAAUAGCAAUAGUUCACAUCACCAUGUGAUUAACACCCAUAGUUCACAUCGAUAUGUGAUCAACACCCAAAGGGUUUACUAGAGUCAGUAAUCUAGUUCACAUCGCUAUGUGAUUAACACCCAAAGAGUACUAAGGUGUGAUCAUGUUUUGCUUGUGAGAUAAUUUUAGUCAACGGGUCUGUCACAUACAGAUCUGUAAGUAUUUUGCGAAUUUCUAUGUCAACAAUGCUCUGCACGGAGCUAUUCUAGCUAAUUGCUCCCACUUUCAAUAUGUAUCCAGAUUGAGACUUAGAAUCAUCUGGAUCAGUGUCAAAAACUUGCAUCGACGUAACCCUUUACGAAGAACCUUUUUGUCACGUCCAUAAUCGAGAAACAUAUCCUUAUUCCACUAAGGAUAAUUUUGACCGCUGUCCAGUGAUCUACUCCUAGAUCACUAUUGUACUCCCUUGCCAAACUCAGUGGUAGGGCAUACAAUAGAUCUGGUAUACAGCAUGGCAUAUUUUAUAGAACCUAAGACUGAGGCAUAGGGAAUGACUUUCAUUCUCUUUCUAUCUUCUGUUGUGGUCAGGCUUUGAGUUUUACUCAACUUCACACCUUGUAACACAGGCAAGAAACCUUUUUCUUUGACUGUUCCAUUUUGAACUACUUCAAAAUCUUGUCAAGGUAUGUACUCAUUGAAAACUUAUCAAGUGUCUUGAUCUAUCUCUAUAGAUCUUGAUACUUAAUAUGUAAGCAGCUUCACCGAGGUCUUUCUUUGAAAAACUCCUUUCAAACACUCCUUUAUGCUUUGCAGAAUAAUUCUACAUUAUUUCCGAUCAACAAUAUGUCAUUCACAUAUACUUAUCAGAAAUGUUGUAGUGCUCCCACUCACUUUCUUGUAAAUACAGGCUUCACCGCAAGUCUGUAUAAAACCAUAUGCUUUGAUCAACUCAUCAAAGCGUAUAUUCCAACUCCAAGAUGCUUGCACCAGUCCACAGAUGGAUCGCUGGAGCUUGCAUAUUUUGUUAGCACCUUUAGGAUUGACAAAACCUUCUGGUUGUAUCAUAUACAACUCUUCUUUAAUAAAUCCAUUAAGGAAUGCAGUUUUGUUCAUCCAUUUGCCGGAUUUCAUAAAAUGCGGCAAUUGCUAACAUGAUUCCGACAGACUUAAGCAUAGAUACGAGUGAGAAACUCUCAUCGUAGUCAACACCUUGAACUUGCCGAAAACCUUUUUGCGACAAGUCGAGCUUUGUAGACAGUAACAUUACCAUCAGCGUCAGUCUUCUUCUUAAAGAUCCAUUUAUUCUCAAUUGCUUGCCGAUCAUCGGGCAAGUCAACCAAAGUCCAUACUUUGUUCUCAUACAUGGAUCCCAUCUCAGAUUUCAUGGCUUCAAGCCACUUUGCGGAAUCUGGGCUCACCAUCGCUUCUUCAUAGUUCGUAGGUUCAUCAUGAUCUAGUAGCAUGACUUCCAGAAAAGGAUUAUCGUACCACUCUGGCGCGGAUCUUACUCUGGUUGAUCUACAGGGUUUAGUAGUAUCUUGUUCUGAAGUUUCAUGAUCAUCAUCAUUGGCUUCCUCACUAACUGGUGUAGGUGUCACAGAAACAGUUUUCUGUGAUGAACUACUUUCCAGUAAGGGAGCAGGUACAGUUACCUCGUCAAGUUCUACUUUCCUCCCACUCACUUCUUUCGAGAGAAACUCCUUCUCUAGAAAUGAUCCAUUCUUAGCAACGAAUGUCUUGCCUUCGGAUCUGUGAUAGAAGGUGUACCCAACAGUUUCCUUUGGGUAUCAUAUGAAGACAUAUUUCUCCGAUUUGGGUUCGAGCUUAUCAGGUUGAAGCUUUUUGACAUAAGCAUCGCAGCCCCAAACUUUAAGAAACAACAACUUUGGUUUCUUGCCAAACCACAGUUCAUAAGGCGUCGUCUCAACGGAUUUUGAUGGUGCCCUAUUUAACGUGAAUGCAGCUGUCUUUAAUGCAUAACCCCAAAACAAUAGUGGUAAAUCGGUAAGAAACAUCAUAGGUUGCACCAUAUCCAAUAAAGUACAAUUAUGACGUUCGGACACACCAUAGUGGUGUUCCAGGUGGCAUGAGUAGUGAAACUAUUUCACAUUGUUUUUUAACUGAAGGCCAAACUCGUAACUCAAAUACUCUUCUCUACGAUCAGAUCGUAGAAACUUUAUUUUCUUGUUAUGAUGAUUUUUUCACUUCACUCUGAAAUUCUUUGAUCUUUUCAAAUGUUUCAGACUUGUGUUUCAUUAAGUAGAUAUACUCAUAUCUGCUCAAAUCAUCUGUGAAGAUCAGAAAAUAAUGAUACUUGCCACGAGCAUCAACACUCAUUGGAUUGCAUACAUCGGUAUGUAUUAUUUCCAAUAAGUCAGUAGCACGUUCCAUUGUUCUGGAGAACGGAGUUUUAGUCAUCUUGCCCAAAAGGCACGGUUCGCAAGCAUCAAAUGAUUCAUAACCAAGUGAUUCCGAAAAUCCAUCUUUAUGGAGUAUCUUCAUGCGCUUUACACCGAUAUGACCCAAACGGCAGUGCCACAAAUAAGUUGCACUAUCAUUAUUAACUUUGCAUCUUUUGGUUUCAGUAUUAUGAAUAUGUGUAUCACUACGAUCGAGAUCCAAUGAACCAUUUUUCAUUGGGUGUGUAACCAUAUAAGGUUUUAUUCAUGUAAACAGAACAACAAUUUAUUCUCUUACUUAAAUGAAUAACUGUAUUGCAAUAAACAUGAUCAAAUCAUAUUCAUGCUCAACGCCAACACCAAAUAACACUUAUUUAGUUUCAACACUAAUCCCGAAAGUAUAGGGAGUGUGCGAUGAUGAUCAUAUUAAUCUUGGAACUACUUCCAACACUCAUCGUCACUUUCCCUUCAACUAGUCUUUGUUUAUUCUGCAACUCCCGUUUCGAGUUACUAAUCUUAGCAACUGAACUAGUACAUAAUACUAAGGGGUUUGCUAUAAACACUAGUAAAGUACACAUCAAUAACAUGUAUAUCAAAUAUACUUAUGUUCACUUUGCCAUCCUUCUUAUCCGCCAAUCACUUGGGGUAGUUCCGCUUCCAGUGACCAAUCCCUUUGUAGUAGAAGCACUUAGUCUCAGGCUUAGGACCAGACUUGGGCUUCUUCACUUGAGCAGCAACUCGCUUGCCGUUCUUCUUGAAGUUCCCCUUCUUCCCUUUGCCCUUUUCUUGAAACUAGUGGUCUUGUCUACCAUCAACACUUGAUGUUUUUCUUGAUUUCUACCUUCGUCGAUUUUAGCAUCACGAAGAGCUCGGGAAUUGUUUACGUCAUCCCUUGCAUUAUAGUUCAUCACGAAGUUCUACUAACUUGGUGGUGGUGACUAGAGAAUUCUGUCAAUCACUAUCUUAUCUGGAAGAUUAUCUCCCACUUGAUUCAAGCGAUUGAAGUACCCAGACAAUCUAAGUACAUGCUCACUAGUUGAGCGAUUCUCCUCCUUCUUUUAGCUAUAGAACUUGUUGGAGACUUCAUAUCUCUCAACUCGGGUAUUUGCUUGAAAUAUUAACUUCAACUCCAGGAACAUCUCAUAUGGUCCAUGACGUUCAAAACGUCUUUGAAGUCCCGAUUCUAAGCUGUUUAAGCAUGGUGCACUAAACUAUCAAGUAGUCAUCAUAUUGAGCCAGCCAAACGUUCAUAACGUCUGCAUCUGCUCCUGCAAUAGGUCUGUCACCUAGCGGUGCAUCAAGGACAUAAUUCUUCUGUGCAGCAAUGAGGAUAAACCUCAGAUCACGGAUCCAAUCCGCAUCAUUGCUACUAACAUUUUUCAACACAAUUUUUCUCUAGGAACAUAUCAAAAUAAACACAGGGAAGCAACAACGCGAGCUAUUGAUCUACAACAUAAUUUGCAAAAUACUAUCAGGACUAAGUUCAUGAUAAAUUUAAGUUCAAUUAAUCAUAUUACUUAAGAACUCCCACUUAGAUAGACAUCCCUCUAAUCUUCUAAGUGAUUACGUGAUCCAAAUCAACUAAACCAUGACCGAUCAUCAUGUGAGAUGGAGUAGUUUUCAAUGGUGAACAUCGUUUAUGUUGAUCAUAUCUACUAUAUGAUUCACGCUCGACCUUUCGGUCUCCGUGUUCCGAGGCCAUAUCUGCAUAUGCUAGGCUCGUCAAGUUUAACCUGAGUAUUCUGCGUGUGCAAAAACUGGCUUGCACCCGUUGUAGAUGGACGUAGAGCUUAUCACACCCGAUCAUCACGUGGUGUCUGGGCACGACGAACUUUGGCAACGGUGCAUACUCAGGGAGAACACUUCUUGAUAAUUUAGUGAGAGAUCAUCUUAUAAUGCUACCGUCAAUCAAAGCAAGAUAAGAUGCAUAAAAAGAUAAACAUCACAUGCAAUCAAUAUAAGUGAUAUGAUAUGGCCAUCAUCAUCUUGUGCUUGUGAUCUCCAUCUCCGAAGCACCGUCAUGAUCACCAUCGUCACCGGCGCGACACCUUGAUCUCCAUCGUAGCAUCGUUGUCGUCUUGCCAAUCUUAUGCUUUCACGACUAUCACUACCGUUUAGUAAUAAAGUAAAGCAUUACAUCGCGAUUGCAUUGCAUACAAUAAAGCGACAACCAUAUGGCUCCUGCCAGUUGCCGAUAACUUGGUUACAAAACAUGAUCAUCUCAUACAAUAAAAUUCAGCAUCAUGCCUUGACCAUAUCACAUCACAACAUGCCCUGCAAAAACAAGUUAGACGUCCUCUACUUUGUUGUUGCAUGUUUUACGUGGCUGCUACGGGCUUAAGUAAGAACCAACCUCACCUACGCAUCAAAACCACAACGAUAGUUUGUCAAAUAGACUCCGUUUUAACCUUCGCAAGGACCGGGCGUAGCCAUACUUGGUUCAACUAAAGUUGGAGAGACAGUCGCCCGCAAGCCAUCUCUGUGCAAAGCACGUCGAGGGAACCGGUCUCGCGUAAGCGUACGCGUAAGGUUGGUCUGGGUCGUCUCGUCCAACAAUACCGCCGAACCAAAGUAUGACAUGCUGGUAGGCAGUAUGACUUGUAUCGUCCACAACUCACUUGUGUUCUACUCGUGCAUAUAACAUCAACAUCAAUAACCUAGGCUCGGAUGCCACUGUUGGGUUUCGUAGUAAUUUCAAAAAAUUUCCUACGCACACGCAAGAUCAUGUGAUGCAUAGCAACGAGGGGAGAGUAUUGUCCACGUACCCAACGCAGACCGACUGCGAAAGCGAUGACACGACGUAGAGGAAGUAGUCGUACGUCUUCUCGAUCCAACCGAUCAAGCACCGAAACUACGGCACCUCCGAGUUCGAGCACACGUUCAGCUCGAUGACGAUCCCCGGACUCCGAUCCAGCAAAGUGUCAGGGAAGAGUUUCGUCAGCACGACGGCGUGGUGACGAUCUUGAUGAACUACAGCAGCAGGGCUUCGCCUAAACUCCGCUACAGUAUUAUCGAGGAAUAUGGUGGCAGGGGGCACCGCACACGGCUAAGGAAUAGAUCACGUGGAUCAACUUGUGUCAACUUGUAUGUUUUGGGGUGCCUCUACCUCAGUAUAUAAAGGAGCCAAGGGGGGAGAGGGGCGCCGGCCAAGGAGGAGGGCGCAGGAGGAGUCCUACUCCUACCGGGAGUAGGACCCCCCCCCCAAUCCUAUUCCAACUAGGAUUCCCAAGGGGGAAAGAGGGAGAGGGGUGGCCGGCCACCUCUCCUAGUCCUAAUAGGACUAGGGGAAGGGGGGAGGCGCGCAGCCCCCUUGGGCUGCCCCUUUCUCCUUUCCACUAAGGCCCAUGAUGGCCCAUAUGGCUCCCGGGGGGUUCCGGUAACCUUCCGGUAACCCGGUAAAAUCCCGAUUUCACCCGGAACACUUCCGAUGUCCAAACAUAGGCUUCCAAUAUAUCAAUCUUUAUGUCUCGACCAUUUCGAGACUCCUCGUCAUGUCCGUGAUCACAUCCGGGACUCCGAACAACCUUCGGUACAUCAAAAUGCAUAAACUCAUAAUAUAACUGUCAUCGUAACCUUAAGCGUGCGGACCCUACGGGUUCGAGAACAAUGUAGACAUGACCGAGACACAUCUCUGGUCAAUAACCAAUAGCGGGACCUGGAUGCCCAUAUUGGCUCCUACAUAUUCUACGAAGAUCUUUAUCGGUCAGACCGCAUAACAACAUACGUUGUUCCCUUUGUCAUCGGUAUGUUACUUGCCCGAGAUUCGAUCGUCGGUAUCCAAUACCUAGUUCAAUCUCGUUACCGGCAAGUCUCUUUACUCGUUCCGUAAUACAUCAUCUCACAACUAACAUAUUAGUUGUAAUGCUUGCAAGGCUUAUGUGAUGUGUAUUACAGAGAGGGCCCAGAGAUACCUCUCCGACAAUCGGAGUGACAAAUCCUAAUCUCGAAAUACGCCAACCCAACAUCGACCAUUGGAGACACCUGUAGUACUCCUUUAUAAUCACCCAGUUACGUUGUGACGUUUGGUAGUACCCAAAGUGUUCCUCCGGUAAACGGGAGUUGCAUAAUCUCAUAGUCAUAGGAACAUGUAUAAGUCAUGAAGAAAGCAAUAGCAACAUACUAAACGAUCGUGUGCUAAGCUAAUGGAAUGGGUCAUGUCAAUCAGAUCAUUCAACUAAUGAUGUGACCUCGUUAAUCAAAUAACAACUCAUUGUUCAUGGUUAGGAAACAUAACCAUCUUUGAUUAACGAGCUAGUCAAGUAGAGGCAUACUAGUGACACUUUGUUUGUCUAUGUAUUCACACAUGUAUUAUGUUUCCGGUUAAUACAAUUCUAGCAUGAAUAAUAAACAUUUAUCAUGAAAUAAGGAAAUAAAUAAUAACUUUAUUAUUGCCUCUAGGGCAUAUUUCCUUCAACACCACCUUCGCGCCGCUCAUGAAGAAGUGUGGGAAAAGGGGUGUGAAUCACUGAUUUGACAAAUUUUUUCUCACCAAGAAACGCCUCAGCCAAGGAUUGAUGGCUCAUGAUACCAAUUUGUCAGGACCCAAAACAUAUUUGAGGAGAUGAACUAUAAAUUUACGAAUAAUUUGGCAACUAUUGAUCGGAUCUGAACUAUUAUUUCUAUAGUGCGAAGAGUGCAGGGUUUAUGUGUUAGCCAUGGCAUGUACCAAUUGGGGAAUUCAACAAUGAACCUCUCGAGCCACAUCUCGGCUGGUUAUAGGCUGGAAAACAAUAGCGAGCGUACAAUAGUGAAAGGUAGAAAUGCUUCAACGACAACGGUAAAGUAAACCAUGCGAUGGCGACUAGUCGUCUGAGUAAGGAGCCAUCACAACCGUCCAUUCCUCUGAAUCGGUAUUGCCAGAUCUGCUACACCCCUUCUUUGAAUGAACAAUGGUGUUAACUGAAUGUCCGAUAGUCUAAGCCUGACAUUGCGCCCUCCCUUGAGAAAUGACGUGUCCUCAUGGCGCUUGUUGAUUUGCACGCCAGAUUUGAGUUGUUGUCUUGAAGAACUUUGGAAAUAUGUACUUGAUAAAUUUCGCGUCUUCCCAUGUUGCCUCUCCAGGUGACAAAUCCUCCCACUGGAUGUACCACUAUACACAGGCAAGUUAUUUCUAGGAACUUGCCUCACUUGUAAGACUAAAGCAUGACCUGUUUUGAUAGUUCGAUCAGAAGUGACCAUGGGUAAAUUUGGGCUAGGUAUGGAUUUGCUGCCAAUGUGCUUCUUUAGUUGACUCACAUGAAAAACAUGGUGGAUUUUCACAUGGUCACGAAAUUGAAGUUUGUGAGCCAUCUUGCCAAUCUUCUGGAUGAUCAAGAAUGGUCCAUAAUAUUUGUUUUGUAAAUUUCAUAGCUCCUCUGAAUCCGAAAGCUGCUAGCCUAUAUGGUUCCAUUUUAAGAUACACCAUGUCUCCAACCUCAAACACUUUUUCACUUCUCUUGAGAUCUACAUAUCUUUUCAUUCGGUUCUAGGCUUGUUGUAAGUUGUCUUUCAGUUGUUCCAACAUGUGUUGUUUAACAUACAAGAAGAUGUGAGUUUCUUCAUCCUCAGGUUCCGGAAUAGCUAGCUCAGAGAUCAAGGGUGGAGGAAAACCAUAAAUAGCUUGAAAGGGAGACAUUUUCAGGGUAGUAUGAUAUGUAGUAUUAUACCAAAACUCUACCAAAGAAAGCCAAGAACACCAUUUCUUGGGUUCAUUGGUUGUCAUGCGCCUAAGAUAAGUUUCCACACAUUGGUUUACCCUCUCAAUUUGACCAUCAGUUUGAGGAUGGCAGGAAUAAUGUACCUCAGUUCACUUUUCAAACUAUCAAAAAUAUCCUUCCACAAUUUACUAGUGAAAAUUCCGUCUAUGUGUGAAAUAAUGAGCUUAGGAGGGCCAUGCAGACUGAUAAUGUUGUCCACAAAGGCCCGUGCGACACCAAGGACAGUGUAUAGGUGUGCGAGUGGUAUAAAAUGAGCAUGCCUAGUAAAUCUGUCCACUACCACCAAUAUUACUUCAUUGCCUUGAGAUUGUGGAAGUCCCUCUAUGAAAUCCAUAGAAAUAUGUUGUCAUGCCAUGUCAACUAUUGGGAGUGGAUCUAACAGGCCAGGUUGCACACAAUUUUCAUGCUUAGAUCUCUGGUAGAUGCGACAAGCUGCAAUGAAAGACUCCACAUCUGAUUUAAGACCUAGCCAAUAGAAAAUACCUUUUCACUCUCUAAUAAGUAGCUCUUGUGCCAGAAUGACCUCCAAUGGGGGAGUUGUGCAGUUAUCAUUCUUGUUUUUAAAUCAAAUAAACCACCCUCCAGAAUUUUCCCUUUAUAUCUAAUUAUGCCAACUGUAAGGUUGUAAUCAAACAUAGUGUUGUCCUAUUUCAACAGGAAUUGUUCGAAAACUUGUUUGGUCACCGGGUCCUUAUGAUAAUUGCCUACUAGUUCAAAAGCCCAAACUAGAGUAGCAACAUAAAUUGUCAUACGGGAUGGCAAUAAUCUUGAUAAAGCAUCUGCAACUUUGUUGUCCACCCCUUUUUGUACUAUAUUUUAAAGCUGAACUCAAGUAGUUUCACCAUCAAUUUAUGUUGAACACCCUCUGUUAUUUUCUGAUCAGUAAUGAAUUUAAGAGCACUAGUACAGAACCGGCCUUUAGUGCCGGUUCGUGACGGGCUUUAGUGCCGGUUCUCCAACUGGCACUAAAGAGUGGGGACUAAAGGUCCCCUCCCUUUAGUACCGGUUCGUCAUGAACCGGCGCUAAAGUGCCACCACGUGGCACGAGCCAGGCCCGUUUGCGUGUAGGGCAUUAGUACCGGUUGGUAACACCAACCGGUACUAAAUGUUUUUUUUUAAUUUUUCUUUAAUUUUGUGUUUUCAAUUUAAUUUAGUGAUUGUUUUACAUUAUAAUGAGUUGUUAAAUCAUUAGGUGAAAGUACCGCGGAUUAGUUUUGACUGGAUGGAUAUCUCUAGCUAGCUAGCUACUAGCUAGCUAGCUACCUAGCAAAGUGAUCAAGUAUAUGCCAUAUCCAUAUUAUACUUGAUCAACUACAGUGAUCUGCGGUUUCUUUCAUUAAAUGAUAUAAUAAUUAACUAGCUGAUCACCACCAGCACUAGCUACUAGCUUAAAGAAGAAACAUUCACUUGUACCAGAAGCAAAAAUAUCAUCGAGUUCAACAUGAUUGUCAUGAUAUUAUAAGCGUUCAUAUAUAACACCACAAAAGCAAAUCACUUAAGUUCAGAACGAAGAACACGGACAUGAAAGGACAAGUACUAAUUAAGAGCAGCAUGAAACUAGCUAAAUCACUCCUGCUAGCUACCCUCUCUCUGGUAAAAUAGCAUAGAACAUGUAUAGCUCUCUUGAUUGAUCAUACUGGAGCAUGCCGAUGAACCUGUCUCCUAAUCGUGGGCUGCACUUCUCAUUGCUGCCCCCUAGUACUUCUCUGCGAUCAUUAACAAUUUUCCUCCAAUCUUUCACUAUUAAGCAUUCAUCGCUUCUAGAAAAUCCUGAAUGCAUUCAUGUGCAAUGCAGGAUAUCUUGGCCGUAAGCUAACAAUUGACAUAUGACCUUUAGUCUCGAUCCCCUGAGGCACAACUGUCAUCGGGAGUCCCUGUUGAAGAACAUCGUAUAGUACUUAAUUAAUAUACUUAGGAAUGAAAGUUUAGCAAAAAAAAUUAUGUAUGCAAAAAUGCACUGAGGACAAAUAGUAAAUAUCUUACCAUCAUUCCUAAAUAGAUGUGACCGUAGUUCAAUACCAUCACUAUUGGUCGCACGUUUUGAGUACUAACAUUUCUAAGUGCAGGAAGAAAAUGGGACAGUAGUAGGUCAUGUCUACCAAGCGCCGGACAUGUUUGGUUGAGUGGAGAUAAGCUGUCAAUAGAAAUUAGUUAUCAGUUAUUUUUGAAUAAGCAAUAUCAAAGACAAAAAUAUAGUUCAGAAGAACUCACAUAAUGGUAGAACUGGAGGCGUCUGCACAUCGACCCAUAUGUCUCUAUUACCUUCAAUAUCAUCUUCCGAACGAAUAUCAAAGGUGAUAACCAUACCAGGCGCAAAUGCAUAAGCCUUGCAUAGUGCUUGCCAAGUUUUGCAUUCAAAAAAGGUGUACGUGUGUUCAUUGUAUACUUUGACAUUGAAAGUAUAACCAUCAUGCUCAGUUUUCAGGUAAACUCUCUUUACCUCCAUAGUUUUCAUAUCUUUGAAACCUAUCUUAUCAAAGACAAAAAUUCUUGCAUGACAGGGGAUGCGCUAGUAGAAUAGUGAAGAUUAAAAAUUAUAAGUCAGGCAAAUAAAGCAUAUAUAAGUCAUGCUUAAUUACGAAAACAGACUUGUCGUUGUGACUUACUGUAUCGAAUUCGAAAGUCUCAUCCAGCUUGAUGCUGAAUCGCCUACCAUCAACAAGGAAAUUUCUGUCGCACUGGCCGCGCUGGUCUUCACAGUAUUCGCACAUAAUGAAAUUUUUUCCGUCGUCAGAUGACAUUUCCUAUGUUCAUAUUAGGCGAAACAUUAAACACUUACUAAUUCAAUUAAUUCAACUACUUUUAUUAAUUCAACUAAGCAUUUACUAAAAAUAAACUAGUUAUAUUAAUUCAACUAGUUCAACUAAGCAUUUACUAAAAAUGAACUAGUCUAUAUAUUAAUUCAACUAGUUCAGCUAAACAUUUACUAAAAAUAAACUAGUUAUAUUAAUUCAAUUAGUUCAACUAAGUAUUUACUAAAAANNNNNNNNNNNNNNNNNNNNNNNNNNNNNNNNNNNNNNNNNNNNNNNNNNNNNNNNNNNNNNNNNNNNNNNNNNNNNNNNNNNNNNNNNNNNNNNNNNNNNNNNNNNNNNNNNNNNNNNNNNNNNNNNNNNNNNNNNNNNNNNNNNNNNNNNNNNNNNNNNNNNNNNNNNNNNNNNNNNNNNNNNNNNNNNNNNNNNNNNNNNNNNNNNNNNNNNNNNNNNNNNNNNNNNNNNNNNNNNNNNNNNNNNNNNNNNNNNNNNNNNNNNNNNNNNNNNNNNNNNNNNNNNNNNNNNNNNNNNNNNNNNNNNNNNNNNNNNNNNNNNNNNNNNNNNNNNNNNNNNNNNNNNNNNNNNNNNNNNNNNNNNNNNNNNNNNNNNNNNNNNNNNNNNNNNNNNNNNNNNNNNNNNNNNNNNNNNNNNNNNNNNNNNNNNNNNNNNNNNNNNNNNNNNNNNNNNNNNNNNNNNNNNNNNNNNNNNNNNNNNNNNNNNNNNNNNNNNNNNNNNNNNNNNNNNNNNNNNNNNNNNNNNNNNNNNNNNNNNNNNNNNNNNNNNNNNNNNNNNNNNNNNNNNNNNNNNNNNNNNNNNNNNNNNNNNNNNNNNNNNNNNNNNNNNNNNNNNNNNNNNNNNNNNNNNNNNNNNNNNNNNNNNNNNNNNNNNNNNNNNNNNNNNNNNNNNNNNNNNNNNNNNNNNNNNNNNNNNNNNNNNNNNNNNNNNNNNNNNNNNNNNNNNNNNNNNNNNNNNNNNNNNNNNNNNNNNNNNNNNNNNNNNNNNNNNNNNNNNNNNNNNNNNNNNNNNNNNNNNNNNNNNNNNNNNNNNNNNNNNNNNNNNNNNNNNNNNNNNNNNNNNNNNNNNNNNNNNNNNNNNNNNNNNNNNNNNNNNNNNNNNNNNNNNNNNNNNNNNNNNNNNNNNNNNNNNNNNNNNNNNNNNNNNNNNNNNNNNNNNNNNNNNNNNNNNNNNNNNNNNNNNNNNACGACGACGACGGGCGGCGGGGGCGGCGAGGGCGACGGCACGGCGGCGCGGCGGCGGCGGCGUCGUCGAGAUCGAGACUCGCGCACGCGAGAAGUGGAACAAACUGGCGACGAUAACUGAAUUUUCGUAAGUGCCAUAUAUAUAGGAGGGGUCUUUAGUACCGGUUGGAGCCACCAACCGGUACUAAAGGCCAGUUUUGGCCAGCCCAAGCGGCGGGAAACGAGGACCUUUAGUACCGGUUGGUGGCUCCAACCGAUACUAAAGGGCAACAUAUUAGUACCGGUUGUAGCCACCAACCGGUACUAAUGGCCGUGCGCUGCCACCCGCGGCGCGCUAUGUUUAGUCCCACCUCGCCGAGCGAAGGGCAGCCGCACUGGUUUAUAAACCCAGCCGCGGCUGCCUUUUCGAACUCCUCUAUAUAGCAGGCUUCUGGGCCUAACUAGAGCGCGUUGUCCUGUGAGCUUGCUGGCCCUUCUGGGCCUGCAUUUGCACACCCUAGGUCUGGCAGGCCCACCGGGCAGCGCCCCAACAUUUUUUAUAGUUUUUUUCUUUUCUGCAUUAUUUAUUUUCUUUUAUUUGGUUUUGAGUAAAUUUUUUAUAUAGUUAUUUCUUUUCUGCUUUAUUUUUUUCUUCUAUUUCUUUUUGACUAGUUUUUUUUGCUGUAUUUAGUUUAUUUGUGAAUAUUUUUGCUUUAUAUAAUAUAUUUUUUCUGCAUUAUUUAUUUUCUUCUAUUUAUUUUUGAGUAAUUUUUUUAUAUAGUUAUUUCUUUUCUACUUUAUUUUUUUCUUCUAUUUAUUUCUGAGUAGUUGUUUUUGCUGUAUUUAGUUUAUUUGUNNNNNNNNNNNNNNNNNNNNNNNNNNNNNNNNNNNNNNNNNNNNNNNNNNNNNNNNNNNNNNNNNNNNNNNNNNNNNNNNNNNNNNNNNNNNNNNNNNNNNNNNNNNNNNNNNNNNNNNNNNNNNNNNNNNNNNNNNNNNNNNNNNNNNNNNNNNNNNNNNNNNNNNNNNNNNNNNNNNNNNNNNNNNNNNNNNNNNNNNNNNNNNNNNNNNNNNNNNNNNNNNNNNNNNNNNNNNNNNNNNNNNNNNNNNNNNNNNNNNNNNNNNNNNNNNNNNNNNNNNNNNNNNNNNNNNNNNNNNNNNNNNNNNNNNNNNNNNNNNNNNNNNNNNNNNNNNNNNNNNNNNNNNNNNNNNNNNNNNNNNNNNNNNNNNNNNNNNNNNNNNNNNNNNNNNNNNNNNNNNNNNNNNNNNNNNNNNNNNNNNNNNNNNNNNNNNNNNNNNNNNNNNNNNNNNNNNNNNNNNNNNNNNNNNNNNNNNNNNNNNNNNNNNNNNNNNNNNNNNNNNNNNNNNNNNNNNNNNNNNNNNNNNNNNNNNNNNNNNNNNNNNNNNNNNNNNNNNNNNNNNNNNNNNNNNNNNNNNNNNNNNNNNNNNNNNNNNNNNNNNNNNNNNNNNNNNNNCUUCCUCCUCCUCUUCUUCUUCUUCCUCCUCUUCUUCCUGGGCUUCUUCCUCUUCUUCUUCUUCCUCUUCCUCCGCAAGGGCGCGGCCGCCGAUGUCGUCCAGGAGGCGUUGCCGACCUGCGGGUGCCACAUCGAGCGCUACCGCCACCACGACCACCACGCGGUUCCGCGACGACGACGCCCUGUACGGGUCGGCGACGGCGAGGGCACGUCCGCGGCCGGCGCCGAGGAGGCCGUGCGGACGUGCGGGAGCUACACCGACACCCCGCCCCGAAGCCCUACUCCGGUCAGUGUGUCGACGGCCCUCGGCAUCAAGGGCGGCCGCGGAGGGCGGGGCCAGAAGAACAAGCGCGACGAGUUGCGCGUGGAGGUGAGCCGCGGCGGAGUGCCCUCGGACGGCUUCGAAGAGUCGGUCGCGCGGUGCGGCUUCCGAAACCCGAGCCUGGUGCGGCCGCCACGGAGGGACUCGACGCGGUGCGCGCAGAUGGGGGCCGUCGCGUCAUACAUCCCGGGACCCGGAGGGGUUCGCGGCCAGAGGGACACCCACGACUACGGCGGCACCUCGAGCCGGCCCCGCGCUGCAGAGUUCCACGCCCCCACCGCGGAUCUGCCCGCAGAGGUAUGGCUUUCUCCCUUGUCAAUAUGCACCUUCAUACAUCGGUGCUACCUCCUGUCAUGUGUGUAGCCCGUAGUCGUGGAAGUGGUUGCUGUAACCAUACUGCCAGGAUCGUGCAUUAUUCCCUUGUUCAUAUUUGUUGCUGUGACACAACACUUCUAGAUCUUGUGUGUGGUUCCCAGGUUGUAUAUAUAAACUUUUCCUUGUUCUAUUUCGAAUGCACCUCUCUUCUGCAUGUUUGAGAGUUGCGCCAUGCAUUGCAUGAAUUCUUUUCACAUGCCAUAUGUUAUUCACUUUCUGGUUCAGAUCUAUGACACUGGGAGUAUCGAGGGGUCAUCUGGAUCUUUCACUGUGAAGUGUGAACAAUGUCCAAGUGAAUGUUGCUGGCUAUGUCCUGCAUACCGGUUCAUUUAGUACAUUUUGCUGGCUAUGUCCUAAAUAUGGUUGUGGUGCCCUCUGCUCUGAUAAAUUAGAUAUUAUUAAAACCUGCUGUCAGUUUGUUUGUUUUCUUAGAAACAUUAUGUCCUUAGCCAUUAUAUGAAAGAUGAUGCCAAUUGUACUUUGUAGCCAUUUCCUGUUGAGCUGCUUUUUAUUAGAUUGUAACUAAGAAUGUUGUUUCUUCAUCAGAAAAUUGGGUCCAUCAAUAAUACAUUAGAUGCAGCUGCUAUCCCAGCUGCAAGAAAAGCUGAUCUAAAAGGCAAUGUCUCAAAGUUGGAGGUCUGUAAAUGCUACAGUUCAUUUGCCAUAUCUUGUCAAAGAGAAUAUUUACGAUAUUUGGUAUUCUAUUGGUAGUUAAAAUGAAAGCUGAUUAUAGCUGUUGCAUAUAUCAGGAUAAACUAAGGGAGGCGAAGAAGAAAACGAGCAAAGAAAAUGUCCAAAAGGCUGUCAAGACUGCCAUAGAUGCUGCUCAUGCUGAUGUGGGUCUUGAUACCACUGCUGUCCGGGAAGCAGUUGUCACACCCAUGGACCGUUUCAAGGUCGGCACUCCAAUCCAUUUCUUUCUAGUAGUGUCCGCGCCAUCUAAAAAUAACUAUAGAUUGAGCAUAAUUAACUUACUCCAACAGUUUUAUUUUAUUUAUGAAUUUAAAAUCAAAUUUGUGCCAAAUAUUUGGAUGUGCUGGUGACCUCUUGGGUUUGGCUUUUCCAGAGUCUGCCAAUAAUGAUAUUGUAUGUUGUCUGAACUUCUGAAAUCCUGGUUUUAUUCUGAAAUUCUCAAUUUAACGAUCGUGUUAGUUUUAUCCUAAAUUUCUCAAUUUUACUAUGCUCACUGCAUGUACUUCUGAAAUGCUAUGGAUUUUAUAUGUAACUUUCUUUAGAUUUUCCUAUAUUGCACAACAAAGUUUGGCAAUCAAUUUCAGGCUGUGUCAUUUAUUCUGUUGUUUCUAAAUGUGUUUGUGGGUGGAUAUCUACUGAUCUGAUGUACGGACAUUGUUUUCUUUUGUGUAUUUUAUAGCUUUGGCUUUGUAGUACUCGUAAACCGAUAUUCUUUUCUGCAUGUUUGAGAGUUGUGCCAUGCAUUGCAUGAAUUCUUUUCACAUGCCAUAUGUUAUUUCUGGAUCAGAUUUAUGACACUGGGAGUAUCAAGGGGCCAUCUGGAUCUUUUAUUGUGAACAGUGUCCAAGUGAAGCCUGCUGGCUAUGUCCUGCAUACCGGUUCAUUUCUGGAAGGGCCUGACUCCAAGGCAUUGUCUGUUGGCGAUGAAGUGAAAUGCGAGGUAACAUUCUUUACUGAUUAAUUCUUUGUAGUGAAUGAGUUAACCUGUGAAAUUUGCCAAAUUACACUGCAGUUCUUCUAUUACUUUAUCAACAUCCUGUUACAUCCUGCUGAACUUUUCAAGUUUAUAUUGCUAUCUUUCAUGUAUCGCUACCAUUAUUUGUACUUCCAGGAUGCGUUUGUUCUGUCGGACACCUAUGGCUAUCCAAUUGAUUUGACUGAGGUUUGUUCUUCAUGUUUACAUCAGUAAAUCUGAUCAAAUUAAUUUGACAGUGCUAUAUUUUCAUGUUUAUGCUGUUGUUAAAGCUUUUUUUGUCUGUUUUUCUUGGUAUCGUUGUUGUUUCCUAUCUCAUAGGUCAUGGCAGUUGACUUCGGGCCAUCUGUUGACAUGGAGGGUUUUAAUGUUUCUAUGGAAGAAGCAAGGCAAAAGGCUAGGAAUGCUCGCUACAAGGUUUUAUUUCUUUCUUCUUAAAUAUAAAAUUUAAUUCCUCACUUGUGGUUGUUUAUGCUAUCCAAGUAUUGUUCCUGCUUAUCGCAAAAAAAGUAUUAUUCCUGCUCUUUGCUGUUUCAUAAUGUUCUAAUUAACUAAACUUAGCAUCUCUUAUAUGCCACGAUGCUCAAUUGAUUGGGCAACUUUUGUCUGUUAUGGUUGAUAUAUCAUAUUUCUUCUGAUUUUGUCAUGUUGCCCCAUAUGGGGCAACAUUAAUUAUGCUAUUUUUAAUGUAUUUUUCAUGUGGGGCCAUUACGAAAGGAAGAAACCCCAUCUGACAUCAGCUUGAUAGUUACCUCAGUUUGCGAGUUACUCCCUCCGUCCCACAAUAUAAGACCGUUUUCAAGCUAACAUAGUUUAAAAAACGAUCUUAUAUUAUGGGAUGGAGUAGAUAUUUUCUAUAGUAGCUAUUGAGCUGAUGUCUGAUCGGGUGUCCUCUUGUUGCAAUGGCCCCACAUGGCAGUAGAUUUGUUAAUUUUAACAUAAUCAUGUUGGUUGAUUUGUAAGUAAAAUAGACGCACAAUUUCUGUUUCAAAAUUAUUCUUUGAUUGUAACCAGAACAAAAAAUGAUUAGUGCACCCUGGAGUGAUUACCCUCUGGUUCGUUGAAACCUGAUUGGUAUUCUUUGUUGCUUGUUGUAUGUCAUCAUAAUAAUCUACAGCACUCAUAAAUAAAUGGUUGAAGUAAUAUUUUUUGUCAUUACACCAUUUCGAACACCACAUUACGGUUGUAUCCAAUCUCACUCUGAGGAAAAUUGUGUUGAGGGCUUCGAAGUUGUCCAUACAAUACAUUGGCUUCAAAAUUUCAGUCAAAAUUUGACAAGUUCAUACCGGUACAUUGCACAACAAACAUUACAAUUUGCAUUCAACAACCAUGGAUGUUUUCUCGUUUAUUUGAAGUAGGUUAUAUAUAUGAACUUCUUUUCUUUUUAAUGAACGAUACGGAGCUCUCAUGCAUGUUCGAGAGUUGCGUCAUGCAUUGUAUGAAUCUCUUUUGACAUGCCAUAUGAUAUUUCUGGAUUAGAUCUAUGACACUGGGAGUAUAGAGGGGCCAUCUGGAUCUUUUACUGUGAACAAUGUCCAAGUGUUUGGUGGCUAUGUCCUGCACAUCGGUUCAUUUCUGGAAGGGCCUGACUCCAAGGCAUUGUCUGUUGGCGAUGAAGUGAAAUGCAAAGUAACAUUCUUUACUAAUUAAUUUCUUUAUACCGGUCAUCAGUUAACCUGUUAAAUAUGCUAAAUUACAUUGAGAUACUUCUAUUACUCUUGGCAGGUUGAUUACACACGGCGUACUCUCACUGCUCCAAACCACACAUGUACCCAUAUGCCGAACUUUGCUCUAAGGGUAUGUUUUCAAGCCUCUCAGAUUUUACGGGGAGUGCUUUUCUGUACUCAUGAUGGUUUCGCUAUUGCAAGUGUAGGAAGUACGUGGUGACCAUAUUGACCAAAAAGGUUCCAUUGUUCUUCCAGAGAAGCUGAGAUUUGAUUUCUCCCAUAUUAUAAAAUAACUUCUAAAUGGUUGUACGGCAUAGAAAAAUAGGAAGCUGUAACAAGCAUAUGUUCUGUACUUUAAGAACCACUAGAAUACUAGAUUUAGGUGACUAGCAUGAAACAUUGACCACAGCACUCCAUCCUUGCAAGUGAAAUACCUACACUGGUUGCAUAAACACUCAAAAAGAAUUGCUUGUAGUAGUGAUGUAGUUGUUAGUAAGUAUUUAUGCUACAAUCCUAAUCAUGUGCGUGUCCAAUAAUUAAGAACAGAAUUGUAGUGAUGUAGUUUUUCAGAGUUAUUGUGCAUUUUUUCUCUCUUUUCUAACUCUUUGUUUGUGUUGCAGGAUGCAGACAAGAAGGGACUUGGUGCAACUAGUGUAGAAUCUGGGCAUAUGGUAGAAGAGGUGGAGGGCAUGGAAGAGGGCUAUCUUGCUAAGAUUGUUCAGGGUGAUGGUGCCAAGGAGAUUAAAGUUGAAGAGGUAUAUAUUUACUGUCCAAAGAAUGUAUAAUUUUUUUUCUUAUUUCAAAGACGAGCAUAUUGUAGUUGUUGAACUUGCUAAAUAUCAUCAUAUUAAUGUUGUAAAUUGUGGUUCAGCUGAGAGUCUAACUUAGUUUUUCAGAGUUAUUGGCGGAGUGAGUAAUAUAUCAUCAUAUUUUAGUUUUUCAGAGUUAUUGGCGGAGUGAGUAAUGUAUGUGCAUAUGUUUAAAUUGAAAAAAUGUAGCCAUUCAUAUCACUUCCAAACAUUCAGAAUUUCUAAAUCUUUCUAUUUCCAGGAGCCAUAGCACCAUAAUAUUCUGAGUUCUCAACUAAUUUACUUAAUCUCUCCUGAGCUCAUUUUGUACAUGUGACUGAAAAUUAGCUGUGAUCUUUAUAUGGUUUAAUUGAGAACUUAUAUAUUUUGUGGCGAACUCGUAUAUGUUUAACAACUUAUCUUUUGCUUCUCAGAUAUUUAUGGAUAUCUGCGGAUGUACUAUUUCACUUCAGAAGAAUUUGAGCAAAAUGGACAUAAACCAGUUAAGCGAGGCUGCUUUUGUUAGAGCGGGAAUCAAACCAUGUGACUUUUAUUUCACUUAUGCUGGAAAUUUUUUGGAGCCAAACCAUCCACUUUCAUGCUAUCAAAUUCCAAGAGAUUCAACAAUCAAACUGAACACUCGUCUGCGAGGUGGCUGGUACGUGUUAAACUGAAAUCCUAAUUAUCCAUUCACCUUUCGUGAUAAAUGUGCCAUGCUUUUUUUUCCGAUAAAGGGCGCUUUUAUUAUCUCAAAAUAUAGCAUCAAGCGAUACAAAGCAUUUAGAGUAUCACCCGGCCUCUGCAUAACUAGGAUGCACACAGCCAAACAUCAAAAAUCUGACAAAAAAAAAUGACAAUUCGGCAAGAGUAGAGUCCUAUAGACCGGCACUAUGCCUAUGUCAAAACGGUUGGUGGACCGAUGCGGAGAUUAUGCUGCCAUCCAUGUUAGGUAAAAAACUCCAUAGCCACCUGCUCCAAUCGCGUACACACCGCCUUGAAUAGCGAUUGGUACUCCGCACGUUGUAGCAUAGGCCACAUACUAAGCGAGUGCGUACAACGGAAAAUAACCUGCAAAGGAGAAGCAUUUUUGUCAUUAAAAACCAAAUCGUUUCUACAUAGCCAAAGCGAUCAUAGUAAGGCGUACGCUCCCACCCUUAUUAGCGUUUUGAACCUAUUUGAAAUACCGUCCAACCAAUGACCAAAAAUAUUGGCAACACUUGUGGGCGGAUACAAAUUUGACGCUAUUUGGAUGACUGACCACGUAGAACGCGCAAACUUGCAUUGAAAAAAGAGGUGUUUGAUUGUCUCGUUAUGAGUACAAAAACAACACUUCUUACUUCCUGGCCAGUUGCGUCGUGCAAGGUUGUCUUUGGUUAGCACAACACCUCUACGAAGAUACCACAUGAAUAUUUUAACUUUUAGUGGAAUCUUUGUCUUCCAGAUUUUUUUGUUAUUGCUCUCCGGUACCUCAGAAUGCGUGAGCGCACGAUACAUAGAAUCUACCGUGAAAGACCCCGAUGUAGUAAGGUUCCAGCGAAACACAUCACGGCCUUGCGUCAGGUUAAUCAGAUCCAGACGGGAUAAGAGAUUAUGCCAUGACAUAAGUCGGGCGCCAACCAAAUCCCGCCUGAACAAAAUAUUCGGCGAGGAUGAGCUGAGCACCUGCGCAAUAGUAUUGUUCUUAUCGCGAACAAUGUUGUACAAGGCUGGAUAUUGUUCUCGGAGACUGGCAUUGCCUAGCCAGAUGUCUUCCCAAAAACGAAUCUCCGACCCGUCCUUUAUCGCGAAAGACCCAAAGCGAAAGAGUUGUUUUUUUGCCGCCAUUAGGCCAGCCCAAAAGUGUGAGUCGCCAGGUUUCCAAUAUGCCUGAGACACCGCCUUUUGGCCUAGAUACUUGUUGCGCAGUAUGGUUUGCCAAACACCAUCCUCAGUAAGAAGUUUGAACAACCAUUUACUAAGUAGGGCCUCAUUCUUGACCUGCAGGUCAUGAAUUCCAAAGCCACCUUGGUCUUUCGGCCUACAAAUCACGCUCCAUUUGGUCAGCCGGUAUUUUUUCUUUUCACCAUCUCCUUGCCAAAAGAAUCUGGACCUAAAAUAGUCCAAUCUUUGCAAGACCCCUUUUGGGAGUUGGAAGAAAGAAAGCAUAUAGAGAAUCAUAUUUGUGAGGACAGAGUUUAUCAAAACCAGCCGUCCUCCAACUGAGAGCAACUUGCCUUUCCAACUGCUCAACCGUUUCUCUAGCCGCUCCUCUACAUGCUUCCACUCCGCAAUGGUGAGACGUCGAUAAUGAAUUGGUAUUCCCAGAUAUUUGAUCGGGAAUUGGCCAAGUGCGCAACCAAAUAGGUCCGCGUAAUUGGCCGCUACCUCGACGGCUUCUCCAAAGCAGAACACUUCGCUUUUAUGGAAGUUAAUUUUAAGACCUGACAUUUGCUCAAAUGCUGACAACAGGAGUUUCAUGUUUCGAGCCUUGUCCAGGUCAUGUUCCAUAAAAAGUAUUGUGUCAUCAGCAUAUUGCAGAAUAGAGAGGCCACCAUCCACAAGGUGUGGCACUACCCUAGCAAUUUGCCCAUCCUGCUUGGCACGCUCAAUUAGAAUUGCCAACAUGUCAGCCACAAUGUUAAAUAACAUUGGGGACAUGGGGUCACCCUGCCGUAGUCCUUUUUUUGUCUGGAAGUAAUGACCUACAUCAUCAUUGACUUUGAUGGCCACGCUACCUCCAGUUACAAAAUUUUGGAUCCAAUGGCACCAUUUUUCAGAGAAACCUUUCAUCCUUAGGGCCUGUUGGAGGAAAGACCAUUUGACCUUGUCAUAGGCUUUUUCAAAGUUAAUUUUGAAUACUACUCCACUUAGGUUUUUCCGAUGCAUCUCGUGGACGGUCUCAUGCAGGAUUACUACACCAUCAAGUAUAUUCCUUCCUUGCAUGAAAGCCGUUCGAGAUGGUCGGACAACAUGGUCCGCUACCGAGUUAAGCCGAUUCAUAGCCACUUUGGUGAAAAUCUUGAAACUGACAUUAAGGAGGCAUAUGGGUCUAAACUGCUGGAUCCGUUCAGCCUCCUUAAUCUUUGGCAACAAGACAAUCUCGCCAAAAUUAAGCCUAAAUAGCUCAAGUCGGUCGGCAUGAAGACAAUUGAACAACUCCAUAAGGUCAGCCUUGAUGAUAUCCCAGAAAUUCUGAUAGAAUUCUGCGGGGAAACCAUCUGCGGCAUGCUUUACAGCCUAGAGCCGGGGCUCCAAAAGCGUUUUGAGAGACAUGGAGCAUAUGAGAUGUUCGAAGAGCUGAAAAUGGUUUUCCAAGCUCAUGCCCGGGUCGAGAGAUAUGAAGUCUCCGACAAAUUCUUCAGCUGUAAGAUGGAGGAAAACAGUUCUGUCAGUGAGCACAUACUCACUAUGUCUGGGUUGCAUAACCGCUUGACUCAGCUGGGAGUUAAUCUCCCGGAUGAUGCGGUCAUUGACAGAAUCCUCCAGUCGCUUCCACCAAGCUACAAGAGCUUUGUGAUGAACUUCAAUGUGCAGGGGAUGGAAAAGACCAUUCCUGAAGUAUUUGCUAUGCUGAAAUCAGCAGAGGUAGAAGUCAGGAAGGAACAUCAAGUGUUGAUGGUCAAUAAAACCACUAAGUUCAAGAAAGGCAAGGGUAAAAAGAACUUCAAGAAGGACGGCAAGGAGGUUGCCGCGCCCGGCAAGCAAGCUGCCGGGAAGAAGCCAAAGAAUGGACCCAAGCCCGAGACUGAGUGCUUUUAUUGCAAGGGAAGCGGUCACUGGAAGCGGAACUGCCCUAAGUACUUAGCGGAUAAGAAGGCCGGCAAAACAAAAGGUAUAUGUGAUAUACAUGUAAUUGAUGUGUACCUUACUAGUGCCCGUAGUAGCUCCUGGGUAUUUGAUACCGGUGCAGUUGCUCACAUUUGUAACUCAAAGCAGGGGCUGCGGAAUAAGCGAAAACUGGCAAAGGACGAGGUGACGAUGCGCGUCGGGAAUGGUUCCAAGGUCAAUGUGAUCGCCGUCGGCACGCUACCUCUGCAUCUCCCUUCAGGAUUAGUUUUAAACCUUAAUAAUUGUUAUUUAGUGCCAGCUUUGAGCAUGAACAUUGUAUCGGGAUCUCGUUUAAUUCGAGAUGGCUACUCUUUUAAAUCUGAGAAUAAUGGUUGUUCCAUUUUUAUGAGAGAUAUGUUUUAUGGUCAUGCUCCUAUGGUGAAUGGUUUGUUCUUUAUGAAUCUCGAACGUGAUGCUACACAUGUUCAUAAUGUGAGUACCAAAAGAAGUAAGGUUGAUAAUGAUAGUCCCACAUACCUGUGGCACUGCCGCCUUGGUCACAUAGGUGUCAAACGCAUGAAGAAGCUCCAUGCUGAUGGACUUUUAGAGUCUCUUGAUUAUGAAUCAUUUGACACAUGCGAACCAUGCCUUAUGGGUAAAAUGACCAAGACUCCGUUCUCAGGAACAAUGGAGCGAGCAACCGACUUAUUGGAAAUCAUACAUACUGAUGUGUGCGGUCCAAUGAGUGUUGAGGCUCGCGGUGGCUAUCGUUAUGUUCUCACCCUCACUGAUGAUUUAAGUAGGUAUGGGUAUAUGUACUUAAUGAAACACAAGUCUGAAACCUUUGAAAAGUUCAAGGAAUUUCAGAGUGAGGUUGAAAAUCAACGUGACAGGAAAAUCAAGUUUCUACGAUCAGAUCGUGGAGGAGAAUACUUAAGUCACGAGUUUGGCACACACUUAAGAAAAUGUGGAAUAGUUUCACAACUCACGCCGCCUGGAACACCUCAGCGUAAUGGUGUGUCCGAACGUCGUAAUCGCACUCUAUUAGAUAUGGUGCGAUCUAUGAUGUCUCUUACCGAUUUACCAUUAUCUUUUUGGGGCUAUGCUUUAGAGACUGCCGCAUUCACUUUAAAUAGGGCUCCGUCGAAAUCCGUUGAGACGACACCGUAUGAAUUAUGGUUUGGGAAGAAACCUAAGCUGUCGUUUCUAAAAGUUUGGGGAUGCGAUGCUUAUGUCAAGAAACUUCAACCUGAAAAGCUCGAACCCAAGUCGGAAAAAUGCGUCUUCAUAGGAUACCCAAAAGAAACUAUUGGGUACACCUUCUACCUCAGAUCCGAAGGCAAGAUCUUUGUUGCCAAGAAUGGGUCCUUUCUGGAGAAAGAGUUUCUCUCGAAAGAAGUAAGUGGGAGGAAAGUAGAGCUUGAUGAAGUAUUACCUCUUGAACCGGAAAAUGGCGCAACUCAAGAAAAUGUUUCUGAGGUGCCAGCACCGACUAGAGAGGAAGUUAAUGAUAAUGAUCAAGAUACUUCUGACCAAGCACCUACUGAAAUUCGAAGGUCCACAAGGACACGUUCCGCACCAGAGUGGUACGGCAACCCUGUCUUGGAAAUCAUGCUGUUAGACAACGGUGAACCUUCGAACUAUGAAGAAGCAAUGGCGGGCCCGGAUUCCGACAAAUGGCUAGAAGCCAUGAAAUCCGAGAUAGGAUCCAUGUAUGAAAACAAAGUAUGGACUUUGACUGACUUGCCCGUUGAGCGGCGAGCCAUAGAAAAUAAAUGGAUCUUUAAGAGGAAGACAGACGCGGAUGAUAAUGUGACCAUCUAUAAAGCUCGGCUUGUCGCUAAGGGUUAUCGACAAGUUCAAGGGGUUGACUACGAUGAGACUUUCUCACCGGUAGCGAAGCUGAAGUCCGUCCGAAUCAUGUUAGCAAUUGCCGCAUUCUAUGAUUACGAAAUAUGGCAAAUGGACGUCAAAACGGCAUUCCUUAAUGGUUUCCUUAAGGAAGAAUUGUAUAUGAUGCAGCCGGAAGGUUUUGUCGAUCCUAAGAAUGCUGACAAAGUGUGCAAGCUCCAACGCUCGAUUUAUGGGCUGGUGCAAGCAUCUCGGAGUUGGGACAUUCGCUUUGAUGAGAUGAUCAAAGCGUUUGGGUUUACACAGACUUAUGGAGAAGCCUGCAUUUACAAGAAAGUGAGUGGGAGCUCUGUAGCAUUUCUCAUAUUAUAUGUAGAUGACAUACUUUUGAUGGGAAAUGAUAUAGAACUCUUGGACAGCAUCAAGGCCUACUUGAAUAAAAGUUUUUCAAUGAAGGACCUUGGAGAAGCUGCUUAUAUAUUAGGCAUCAAAAUCUAUAGAGAUAGAUCGAGACGCCUCAUAGGUCUUUCACAAAGCACAUACCUUGAUAAGAUAUUGAAGAAUUUCAAUAUGGAUCAAUCCAAGAAGGGGUUCUUGCCUGUGUUACAAGGUAUGAAAUUGAGCUCAGCUCAAUGUCCGACCACGGCAGAAGAUAUAGAAGAGAUGAGCGUCAUCCCCUAUGCCUCAGCCAUAGGUUCUAUUAUGUAUGCCAUGCUGUGUACCAGACCUGAUGUUAACCUUGCCGUCAGUUUGGUAGGAAGGUACCAAAGUAAUCCCAGCAAGGAACACUGGACAGCGGUCAAGAAUAUCCUGAAGUACCUGAAAAAGACUAAGGAAAUGUUUCUCGUUUAUGGAGGUGACGAAGAGCUCGUCGUAAAGGGUUACGUCGACGCUAGCUUCGACACAGAUCUGGAUGACUCUAAGUCACAAACCGGAUACGUGUAUAUUUUGAAUGGUGGGGCAGUAAGCUGGUGCAGUUGCAAGCAAAGCGUCAUGGCGGGAUCUACAUGUGAAGCGGAGUACAUGGCAGCCUCGAAGGCAGCACAUGAAGCAAUAUGGGUGAAGGAGUUCAUCACCGACCUAGGAGUCAUACCCAAUGCGUCGGGGCCGAUCAAGCUCUUCUGUGACAACACUGGAGCUAUUGCACUUGCCAAGGAGCCCAGGUUUCACAAGAAGACAAGGCACAUCAAGCGUCGCUUCAACUCCAUUCGUGAAAAUGUUCAAGAUGGAGACAUAGAGAUUUGUAAAGUACAUACGGACCUGAAUAUAGCAGAUCCGUUGACUAAACCUCUCCCUAGAGCAAAACAUGAUCAACACCAGAAUUCCAUGGGUGUUCGAUUCAUCACAAUGUAACUAGAUUAUUGACUCUAGUGCAAGUGGGAGACUGUUGGAAAUAUGCCCUAGAGGCAAUAAUAAAAGCAUUAUUAUUAUAUUUCCUUGUUCAUGAUAAUUGUCUUUAUUCAUGCUAUAAUUGUGUUAUCCGGAAAUCGUAAUACAUGUGUGAAUAAUAGACACCAACAUGUCCCUAGUGAGCCUCUAGUUGACUAGCUCGUUGAUCAACAAAUAGUCAUGGUUUCCUGACUAUGGACACUGGAUGUCAUUGAUAACGAGAUCACAUCAUUGGGAGAAUGAUGUGAUGGACAAGACCCAAUCCUAAACAUAGCACAAGAUCGUAUAGUUUGUUUGCUAGAGUUUUCCAGUGUCAAAGUAUCUUUUCCUUAGACCAUGAGAUCAUGUAACUCCCGGAUACCGUAGGAGUGCUUUGGGUAUGCCAAACGUCACAACGUAACUGGGUGACUAUAAAGGUAGACUACGGGUAUCUCCGAAAGUGUCUGUUGGGCGACAUGGAUCAAGACUGGGAUUUGUCACUCCGUAUGACGGAGAGGUAUCACUGGGCCCACUCGGUAAUGCAUCAUCAUAAUGAGCUCAGAGUGACCAAGUGUCUGGUCACGGGAUCAUGCAUUACGGUACGAGUAAAGUGACUUGCCGGUAACGAGAUUGAACGAGGUAUUGGGAUACCGACGAUCGAAUCUCGGGCAAGUAACAUACCGAUAGACAAAGGGAAUAGCGUACGGGAUUGAUUAAAUCCUCGACAUCGUGGUUCAUCCGAUGAGAUCAUCGUGGAGCAUGUGGGAGCCAACAUGGGUAUCCAGAUCCCGCUGUUGGUUAUUGACCGGAGAGUCGUCUCGGUCAUGUCUGCUUGUCUCCCGAACCCGUAGGGUCUACACACUUAAGGUUCGGUGACGCUAGGGUUAUGAAGAUAUGUACAUGCAGAAACCCGAAUGUUGUUCGGAGUCCCGGAUGAGAUCCGGACGUCACGAGGAGUUCCGGAAUGGUCCGGAGGUAAAGAAUUAUAUAUAGGAAGUGCUAUUUCGGGCAUCGGGACAAGUUUCGGGGUUAUCGGUAUUGUACCGGGACCACCGGAGGGGUCCCGUGGGCCCACCGGGUGGGGCCACCUGUCCCGGGGGGGCACAUGGGCUGUAGGGGGUGCGCCUUGGCCUAGAUGGGCCAAGGGCACCAGCCCCUAUAGGCCCAUGCGCCUAGGGUUUCCACCAUGGAAGAGUCCAUGUGGUGGAAGGCACCCCUAGGUGCCUUGGGGGGGAGGGAAACCUCCCCUUGGCCGCCGCUCCCCUAGUAGAUCUCAUCUACUAGGGCCGGCGCCCCCCCUUGGCACCCCUAUAUAUAGUGGGGGGGAGAGGAGGGAUUUCACACCAGCCCCUGGCGCCUCCAUCUCCCCCCGUUACGUCUCUCCCUCGUAGUCUCGGCGAAGCCCUGCUUCUGUGACGCCCUGCAUCCACCACCACUCCGUCGUGCUGCUGGAUCUUCAUCUACCUCUCCUUCCCCCUUGCUGGAUCAAGAAGGAGGAGACGUCUCCCGUCCCGUACGUGUGUUGAACGCGGAGGUGCCGUCCGUUCGGCGCUGGUCAUCGGUGAUUUGGAUCACGUCGAGUACGACUACAUCAUCACCGUUCUUUUGAACGCUUCCGCUCGCGAUCUACAAAGGUAUGUAGAUGCAUCUAAUCACUCGUUGCUAGAUGAACUCCUAGAUGAUCUUGGUGAAACAAGUAGGAAAAUGUUUGUUUUCUGCAACGUUCCCCAACAGUGGCAUAAUGAGCUAGGUCUAUGCGUAGUUCUUCUUGCGCGAGUAGAACACAAUUUGUUGUGGGCGUAGAUUUGUCAACUUUCUUGCUGUUACUAGUCCUUUCUUGCUUCAGCGGUAUUGUGGGAUGAAGCGGCCCGGACCAACCUUACACGUACGCUUACGUGAGACCGGUUCCACCGACUAACAUGCACUAGUUGCAUAAGGUGGCUGGCGGGUGUCUGUCUCUCCUACUUUAGUUGGAGCGGAAUCGAUGAACAGGGUCCUUAUGAAGGGUAAAUAGAAGUUGACAAAUCACGUUGUGGCUUUAACGUAGGUAAGAAAACGUUCUUGCUAGAACCCUAAUUCAGCCACGUAAAACUUGCAACAACAAUUAGAGGACGUCUAACUUGUUUUUGCAGCAAGUGGUUUGUGAUAUGAUAUGGCCAAAGUUGUGAUGAAUGAUGAAUGAUCUAUAUGUGAUGUAUGAGAUGUUCAUGCUAUUGUAAUAGGAUUCACGACUUGCAUGUCGAUGAGUAUGACAACCGGCAGGAGCCAUAGGAGUUGUCUUUAUUCUUUUAUAUGACCUGCGUGUCAUCGAGAAACGCCAUGUAAAUUACUUUACUUUAUUGCUAAACGCGUUAGCCACAGUAGUAGAAGUAAUAGUUGGCGAGCAACUUCAUGGAGACACGAUGAUGGAGAUCAUGAUGAUGGAGAUCAUGGUGUCAAGCCGGUGACAAGAUGAUCAUGGAGCCCCAAGAUGGAGAUCAAAGGAGCUAUGUGAUAUUGGCCAUAUCAUGUCACGUUUAUUAUUUAAUUGCAUGUGAUGUUUAUCAUGUUUUGCAUCUUGUUUACUUAGAACGACGGUAGUAAAUAAGGUGAUCCCUCAUACUAAUUUCAAGAAGUGUUCCCCCUAACUGUGCACCGUUGCGACAGUUCGCUAUUUCAAAACACCACGUGAUGAUCGGGUGUUUUAUUCAGACGUUCACAUACAGCGGGUGUAAGACAGAUUUACACAUGCAAACAUUUAGGUUGACUUGACGAGCCUAGCAUGUACAGACAUGGCCUCGGAACACAGAAGACCGAAAGGUCGAGCAUGAGUCGUAUAGAAGAUACGAUCAACAUGAAGAUGUUCACCGAUGUUGACUAGUCCGUCUCACAUGAUGAUCGGACACGGUCUAGUUUAACUCGGAUCAUGUAAUACUUAGAUGACUAGAGGGAUGUUUAAUCUAAGUGGGAGUUCACUAAUAAUUUGAUUGGUUGAACUUAAUUAUCAUGAACUUAGUCUAAAUAUUUUACAAUAUGUCUUGUAGAUCAAAUGGCCAACGUAGUCCUCAACUUCAACGCGUUCCAAGAGAAAACCAAGCUGAAAGAUGAUGGCAGCAACUAUACGGACUGGGUCCGGACCCUGAGGAUCAUCCUCAUAGCUGCCAAGAAAGAUUAUGUCCUACAAGCACCGCUUGGUGACGCACCCGUUCUCCCUGCAGAACAAGACGUUAUGAACGCUUGGCAGGCACGUUCCGAUGACUACUCCCUCGUUCAGUGCGGCAUGCUUUACAGCCUAGAGCCGGGGCUCCAAAAGCGUUUUGAGAGACAUGGAGCAUAUGAGAUGUUCGAAGAGCUGAAAAUGGUUUUCCAAGCUCAUGCUCGGGUUGAGAGAUAUGAAGUCUCCGACAAAUUCUUCAGCUGUAAGAUGGAGGAAAACAGUUCUGUCAGUGAGCACAUACUCACUAUGUCUGGGUUGCAUAACCGCUUGACUCAGCUGGGAGUUAAUCUCCCGGAUGAUGCGGUCAUUGACAGAAUCCUCCAGUCGCUUCCACCAAGCUACAAGAGCUUUGUGAUGAACUUCAAUAUGCAGGGGAUGGAAAAGACCAUUCCUGAAGUAUUUGCUAUGCUAAAAUCAGCAGAGGUAGAAGUCAGGAAGGAACAUCAAGUGUUGAUGGUCAAUAAAACCACUAAGUUCAAGAAAGGCAAGGGUAAAAAGAACUUCAAGAAGGACGGCAAGGAGGUUGCCGCGCCCGGCAAGCAAGCUGCCGGGAAGAAGCCAAAGAAUGGACCCAAGCCCGAGACUGAGUGCUUUUAUUGCAAGGGAAGCGGUCACUGGAAGCGGAACUGCCCUAAGUACUUAGCGGAUAAGAAGGCCGGCAAAACAAAAGGUAUAUGUGAUAUACAUGUGAUUGAUGUGUACCUUACUAGUGCCCGUAGUAGCUCCUGGGUAUUUGAUACCGGUGCAGUUGCUCACAUUUGUAACUCAAAGCAGGGGCUGCGGAAUAAGCGGAAACUGGCAAAGGACGAGGUGACGAUGCGCGUCGGGAAUGGUUCCAAGGUCAAUGUGAUCGCCGUCGGCACGCUACCUCUGCAUCUCCCUUCGGGAUUAGUUUUAAACCUUAAUAAUUGUUAUUUAGUGCCAGCUUUGAGCAUGAACAUUGUAUCGGGAUCUCGUUUAAUUCGAGAUGGCUACUCUUUUAAAUCUGAGAAUAAUGGUUGUUCCAUUUUUAUGAGAGAUAUGUUUUAUGGUCAUGCUCCUAUGGUGAAUGGUUUAUUCUUAAUGAAUCUCGAACGUGAUGCUACACAUGUUCAUAAUGUGAGUACCAAAAGAAGUAAGGUUGAUAAUGAUAGUCCCACAUACCUGUGGCACUGCCGCCUUGGUCACAUAGGUGUCAAACGCAUGAAGAAGCUCCAUGCUGAUGGACUUUUAGAGUCUCUUGAUUAUGAAUCAUUUGACACAUGCGAACCAUGCCUUAUGGGUAAAAUGACCAAGACUCCGUUCUCAGGAACAAUGGAGCGAGCAACCGACUUAUUGGAAAUCAUACAUACUGAUGUGUGCGGUCCAAUGAGUGUUGAGGCUCGCGGUGGCUAUCGUUAUGUUCUCACCCUCACUGAUGAUUUAAGUAGGUAUGGGUAUAUCUACUUAAUGAAACACAAGUCUGAAACCUUUGAAAAGUUCAAGGAAUUUCAGAGUGAGGUUGAAAAUCAACGUGACAGGAAAAUCAAGUUUCUACGAUCAGAUCGUGGAGGAGAAUACUUAAGUCACGAGUUUGGCACACACUUAAGAAAAUGUGGAAUAGUUUCACAACUCACGCCGCCUGGAACACCUCAGCGUAAUGGUGUGUCCGAACGUCGUAAUCACACUCUAUUAGAUAUGGUGCGAUCUAUGAUGUCUCUUACCGAUUUACCACUAUCUUUUUGGGGCUAUGCUUUAGAGACUGCCGCAUUCACUUUAAAUAGGGCUCCGUCGAAAUCUGUUGAGACGACACCGUAUGAAUUAUGGUUUAGGAAGAAACCUAAGCUGUCGUUUCUAAAAGUUUGGGGAUGUGAUGCUUAUGUCAAGAAACUUCAACCUGAAAAGCUCGAACCCAAGUCGGAAAAAUGCGUCUUCAUAGGAUACCCAAAAGAAACUAUUGGGUACACCUUCUACCUCAGAUCCGAAGGCAAGAUCUUUGUUGCCAAGAAUGGGUCCUUUCUGGAGAAAGAGUUUCUCUCGAAAGAAGUAAGUGGGAGGAAAGUAGAGCUUGAUGAAGUAUUACCUCUUGAACCGGAAAAUGGCGCAACUCAAGAAAAUGUUUCUGAGGUGCCAGCACCGACUAGAGAGGAAGUUAAUGAUAAUGAUCAAGAUACUUCUGAUCAAGCACCUACUGAAAUUCGAAGGUCCACAAGGACACGUUCCGCACCAGAGUGGUACGGCAACCCUGUCUUGGAAAUCAUGCUGUUAGACAACGGUGAACCUUCGAACUAUGAAGAAGCAAUGGCGGGCCCGGAUUCCGACAAAUGGCUAGAAGCCAUGAAAUCUGAGAUAGGAUCCAUGUAUGAAAACAAAGUAUGGACUUUGACUGACUUGCCCUUUGAGCGGCGAGCCAUAGAAAAUAAAUGGAUCUUUAAGAGGAAGACAGACGCGGAUGGUAAUGUGACCAUCUAUAAAGCUCGGCUUGUCGCUAAGGGUUAUCGACAAGUUCAAGGGGUUGACUACGAUGAGACUUUCUCACCGGUAGCGAAGCUGAAGUCCGUCCGAAUCAUGUUAGCAAUUGCCGCAUUCUAUGAUUACGAAAUAUGGCAAAUGGACGUCAAAACGGCAUUCCUUAAUGGUUUCCUUAAGGAAGAAUUGUAUAUGAUGCAGCCGGAAGGUUUUGUCGAUCCUAAGAAUGCUGACAAAGUGUGCAAGCUCCAACGCUCGAUUUAUGGGCUGGUGCAAGCAUCUCGGAGUUGGGGCAUUCGCUUUGAUGAGAUGAUCAAAGCGUUUGGGUUUACACAGACUUAUGGAGAAGCCUGCGUUUACAAGAAAGUGAGUGGGAGCUCUGUAGCAUUUCUCAUAUUAUAUGUAGAUGACACACUUUUGAUGGGAAAUGAUAUAGAACUCUUGGACAGCAUCAAGGCCUACUUGAAUAAAAGUUUUUCAAUGAAGGACCUUGGAGAAGCUGCUUAUAUAUUAGGCAUCAAAAUCUAUAGAGAUAGAUCGAGAUGCCUCAUAGGUCUUUCACAAAGCACAUGCCUUGAUAAGAUAUUGAAGAAGUUCAAUAUGGAUCAAUCCAAGAAGGGGUUCUUGCCUGUGUUACAAGGUAUGAAAUUGAGCUCAGCUCAAUGUCCGACCACGGCAGAAGAUAUAGAAGAGAUGAGCGUCAUCCCCUAUGCCUCAGCCAUAGGUUCUAUUAUGUAUGCCAUGCUAUGUACCAGACCUGAUGUUAACCUUGCCGUCAGUUUGGUAGGAAGGUACCAAAGUAAUCCCGGCAAGGAACACUGGACAGCGGUCAAGAAUAUCCUGAAGUACCUGAAAAGGACUAAGGAAAUGUUUCUCGUUUAUGGAGGUGACGAAGAGCUCGUCGUAAAGGGUUACGUCGACGCUAGCUUCGACACAGAUCUGGAUGACUCUAAGUCACAAACCGGAUACGUGUAUAUUUUGAAUGGUGGGGCAGUAAGCUGGUGCAGUUGCAAGCAAAGCGUCGUGGCGGGAUCUACAUGUGAAGCGGAGUACAUGGCAGCCUCGGAGGCAGCACAUGAAGCAAUAUGGGUGAAGGAGUUCAUCACCGACCUAGGAGUCAUACCCAAUGCGUCGGGGCCGAUCAAGCUCUUCUGUGACAACACUGGAGCUAUUGCACUUGCCAAGGAGCCCAGGUUUCACAAGAAGACAAGGCACAUCAAGCGUCGCUUCAACUCCAUUCGUGAAAAUGUUCAAGAUGGAGACAUAAAGAUUUGUAAAGUACAUACGGACCUGAAUAUAGCAGAUCCGUUGACUAAACCUCUCCCUAGAGCAAAACAUGAUCAACACCAGAAUUCCAUGGGUGUUCGAUUCAUCACAAUGUAACUAGAUUAUUGACUCUAGUGCAAGUGGGAGACUGUUGGAAAUAUGCCCUAGAGGCAAUAAUAAAAGCAUUAUUAUUAUAUUUCCUUGUUCAUGAUAAUUGUCUUUAUUCAUGCUAUAAUUGUGUUAUCCGGAAAUCGUAAUACAUGUGUGAAUAAUAGACACCAACAUGUCCCUAGUGAGCCUCUAGUUGACUAGCUCGUUGAUCAACAGAUAGUCAUGGUUUCCUGACUAUGGACACUGGAUGUCAUUGAUAACGAGAUCACAUCAUUGGGAGAAUGAUGUGAUGGACAAGACCCAAUCCUAAACAUAGCACAAGAUCGUAUAGUUCGUUUGCUAGAGUUUUCCAAUGUCAAAGUAUCUUUUCCUUAGACCAUGAGAUCAUGUAACUCCCGGAUACCGUAGGAGUGCUUUGGGUAUGCCAAACGUCACAACGUAACUGGGUGACUAUAAAGGUAGACUACGGGUAUCUCCGAAAGUGUCUGUUGGGUGACAUGGAUCAAGACUGGGAUUUGUCACUCCGUAUGACGGAGAGGUAUCACUGGGCCCACUCGGUAAUGCAUCAUCAUAAUGAGCUCAGAGUGACCAAGUGUCUGGUCAAGGGAUCAUGCAUUACGGUACGAGUAAAGUGACUUGCCGGUAACGAGAUUGAACGAGGUAUUGGGAUACCGACGAUCGAAUCUCGGGCAAGUAACAUACCGAUAGACAAAGGGAAUAGCGUACGGGAUUGAUUAAAUCCUCGACAUCGUGGUUCAUCCGAUGAGAUCAUCGUGGAGCAUGUGGGAGCCAACAUGGGUAUCCAGAUCCCGCUGUUGGUUAUUGACCGGAGAGUCGUCUCGGUCAUGUCUGCUUGUCUCCCGAACCCGUAGGGUCUACACACUUAAGGUUCGGUGACGCUAGGGUUAUGAAGAUAUGUACAUGCAGAAACCCGAAUGUUGUUCGGAGUCCCGGGUGAGAUCCGGACGUCACGAGGAGUUCCGGAAUGGUCCGGAGGUAAAGAAUUAUAUAUAGGAAGUGCUAUUUCGGGCAUCGGGACAAGUUUCGGGGUUAUCGGUAUUGUACCGGGACCACCGGAGGGGUCCCGUGGGCCCACCGGGUAGGGCCACCUGUCCCGGGGGGCCACAUGGGCUGUAGGGGGUGCGCCUUGGCCUAGAUGGGCCAAGGGCACCAGCCCCUAUAGGCCCAUGCGCCUAGGGUUUCCACCAUGGAAGAGUCCAUGUGGUGGAAGGCACCCCUAGGUGCCUUGGGAGGGAGGGAAACCUCCCCUUGGCCGCCGCCCCCCCUAGUAGUUCUCAUCUACUAGGGCCGGCGCCCCCCCCCUUGGCACCCCUAUAUAUAGUGGGGGGGAGAGGAGGGAUUUCACACCAGCCCCUGGCGCCUCCAUCUCCCCCCGUUACGUCUCUCCCUCGUAGUCUCGGCGAAGCCCUGCUUCUGUGACGCCCUGCAUCCACCACCACUCCGUCGUGCUGCUGGAUCUUCAUCUACCUCUCCUUCCCCCUUGCUGGAUCAAGAAGGAGGAGACGUCUCCCGUCCCGUACGUGUGUUGAACGCGGAGGUGCCGUCCGUUCGGCGCUGGUCAUCGGUGAUUUGGAUCACGUCGAGUACGACUACAUCAUCACCGUUCUUUUGAACGCUUCCGCUCGCGAUCUACAAAGGUAUGUAGAUGCAUCUAAUCACUCGUUGCUAGAUGAACUCCUAGAUGAUCUUGGUGAAACGAGUAGGAAAAUUUUUGUUUUCUGCAACGUUCCCCAACAUGAGUGUCAAAACGGUCAUUAUUUUUCUCUUCCUGAUACCUAAGGAUAUUAAAGUAUGAGGAUAUUAAAUGUGCCAUGCUAGAUCACAUUUUAAACAUUUUUGAGGCAGUUCUAGGCUUCUAUUAUGGCUUAACUAGUUUUUUUCCAAUACUUUUGGUUUCUUGUGUACUUGAAAAGCAUUGAUUUUGUUUGUUUUCCAGUGCUGGUUACGAAACAUGGGAUGACAUAAUCAGAGCUCAGCAACUCGACGAGACGGUGUCAUUGCCAGCAGGGGACUUAGUUCUCCCACGCCCGGGCCGCUCGGCCAUGCAAGUUACAGUGCUGGUGAAGUUCUUGGCAGAGCAUAUGCAAUUUCAAGCUAGGAAAGUGCUGAUUCAGCUGUGCAGAAAACAUUAUAGUGGGACUUCCUACGGAGGUAACAUCACUUCUAAGAAUAUCCUCUUUGACCCCGACGGGAAUGUGCACAUUGAUUCUGCCCCAGAAACAUUUAGUGAACAUUCUGCUAAAUCAGACUAUGGUGCAAUUGGCAGAAUACUUGAGGAUUCUUUCAAAGAUCACGUCAAAAAUUGCUACCCGAUGCAUUUCCAACAAUUGGUUUACUUCCUAAGAUAUGGUCCUGUUGUGGACUACCGAAGUGAGUCCGUCAUUGCAUGGGUGACGAAUCACCCGUCGUUGUUGUCUCAUUUUGAGAGGACACAUAUCAGUGAAGGUUUGGUUCAGCUGAUUGAUCGACUUGAUCCAGCCGUCGUGACCGUCUUGCUAGCUAAUCUUGAUCAGAUUGUGUGGGGGCAUAUCGUGAAGAAAAUUCCAGCAAUGAAGCAUACUUAUCUUUUCCAUUCGUGGCGCAAUAGAGCUGGGAAGCUUUGUGUUCCGUAUGUGGACAAUGGGGUUAGCUUUCUGAGGUUCUCCAACAACUUUUUCAAACAUCAUAAGGUAAGAUUCGUGUUUAAUCAUCUUCCUGCUCUCUGUGUACAGUACAUACAGUCUGCCUUGUAUAUAUAUUUUUAUGGCACCUAAGUAUGAUACAAACUAGUUUUGAUUGAUGCAGUGGGCCUCUAUAGAGCAGCUUGAUGCGGCCUUCUCGCUGGUGAUGGAGACUAGAAAUUUCAUACCUCGAUUCCUGUUUACCAUUCUUGUGACUUUGAAAAACUCAAAGAAUCAAUAUCCUGCACUGAUACAGUCCUUUAUUGACCAAGUGGUUAGGAUGUGAGUUACUAUGAACUUGGUGGUUUAUACUAAUUUUUGUGUAAGCAAUCUUGGAAGUUGACUGAUGCAUGUACCUCGUACCAUUGAUUAUUUGCAUGCUAGGGAACAACGUGAUUGACAUCAAGAGUCGUCGGUGACCUGGGAACGGAAGCUGUUUGACUGCUGUCAGACAAAGUGCUGUUAAGAUUGUCUGUCUAAUCAUGAGUCGUGUAAUGCCUGUCUGUCUUGUAACCCUGGCCGAGUGUGCCUAACAUGAAGUGAAGAAGUAGAAAUAAUUUGUACUACUUGAGGAGUUGUUGGAUAUAAGUAGCCUGAUACACAAACUCCAGGAUUCUUCAGUUGUUAUAUCAGCCACGAUCGAGUUUGUUUGUUUGUUUGUUUUUGUUUUAUGUUAUAUAGGUCGAUACAUGUGCCGUCCUUGUGCUGGGCACGCGCGCACAAGGCUAGUCGAUGCGUGGUGUGGCUUUGGUUGAGUCCUCUUAUGAGUAUAUGUAUAUAUAUGUGGACAUGCCUGCAAAUUCACGAUUAAGUGAAAGUUGCUGCAUUUUUUCCUUUCAUACUUUCAGUUUGAAAACAAAUUGUUUUUUUUUGACAACUAAAGUUCCCUCUUCUCUUUAUUCAUUGGUGAUAACACUUACUCCCUCCAUAAAGAAAUAUAAGAGUGUUUAGAACACUAAAAUAGUGAUCUAAAUGCUCUUAUAUUUCUUUACAGAGGGAAUACAUCUUUAAGUAAAAGAGGAAGAAGCUCAUUAGGAGCCAUUUCAAUCCACUCACUGCAGAAUUUAGAUCUAGCUACACUAGCUAAUUCAUGAGCAACAACGUUUGCUUCUCUAGGACAUAAUUCAAACCGAAUUGAACUAAACUCACAUGCCAAGUGGUAACAAUCAUCAACUAGUUCUAGGCUGUCGGAAUUAACGACAAGCCUGUUACACCCUGCCGACGAAGAGAGUUUGAAAACAACUUGUUUCAUUUGACCUUUUUCCUUUUAAGAAAAGGCAUGCUCAAAAUUCAGGCAAGAAUCUAUCAGCGGUGGGGCCUUGGGUAGAGGACAUCAAAUCUGUCAACGAAUUAGCAGAGUUUAAAGUCUCGCAGGUAUGACGUUCUGCUAAUAUUAUCGUGCAUAAGUUAGCUAGAGUAGGAGUUGGUGACGAAAGGUGCCAAGUGGGGCAUGGGGUUCGUACAGAUUGCAUUCUAGGUGUUAAAUUAUAUUCCAAACUAUGUUGGUUAAAUAAAAUGUUUUUUUUCUCUCUUUCUCCCUUCGCCUUCUUUGUAAAUACUCUCUGUUAAACCAAAAUUCAAUAAAAUGAGUUCAGACCGUCUUUGCCCGCCGUAGUUCUCUCUCUCUCUCUCUCUCUCUCUCUCUCUCUCUCUCUCUAUAUAUAUAUAUAUAUAUAUAUAUAUAUAUAUAUAUAUAUAUAUAUAUAUAUAUAUAUAUAUAUAAGAAGGCAUGCUCAACAAAUUACAACCACCAAAACCAUUCUGGUCGUUUCUUCCUUAAAUUGCAUGCUGCCCGUAUGUCGAAACUCAAAAAUGAACAAGAGAUACAUGCACGGGCGGCUCACCAUAUACCAGUUUAACAAUGCUUCAUCCCUAGUUCAAAUGGUCCAUGCCUUGCCACCAAAGGAAUACUCCCUCUGUCCAGAAAUACUUGUCCGCGAAGUGGAUGUAUCUAGACUUAUUUUAGUUCUAGAUACGUCCAUUUCUAUCCAUUUAUGCAACAAGUAAUUCCGGACGGAGGGAGUAUAACAAAGGGGGCACCAAGACCCAAUCCGUCAGGUCUAGCAACACAGAAGUUUACAAAUCAAGUGCUUUUAAAAUCGGGAAUGUAUCUUCUUUUGGGCAAGCAAACAGCAGAGCAAGGAGGCAUCAAUUAGUUCCAAACAUCUAAUAUUGCACUUUUAAAUCAACCAGACGUAAAACAAACCAGUAGGAUUUUUCCUGCAGGAAAAUGACAAUGAUGCAUGUAGCCAGAAUCAACACAAUCUCAACAAUAAACAUGCCAUUACCAGUUAUUACAAAUCUAAAACAAGCCACUCAGGAGACAUAAAGCCAUGAGUAAAAACACAAAGUACCCACCAUUCAGUUUAUAACUACUAACAUC
rnacentral:lncRNA from 1 species